rnacentral:lncRNA from 1 species
GAUACAUAAAGACAAUUAAACCAAGGCUAAAAAGCCACAACAUAAAACCACCAAAACAACCCUUAAUACAAUAGAAAACAAUUACUUAGUAGAUAUUGAUAUGUCUUGUUGCAUUGAUGUUUCAGAAAUGUGUGGGUGGAGGGCAAUUUUUGUAUCGGUACUUCCCGAGUCGCUCCGAGCAGGGAUCGAAUGGGGUGGUCGGUUUUGGGGGCUUUAUUUUUCCGAUAAUUCUUCCAAUUCCGGGGGUCAAGGUAAAAGCAUCAGCAGAAUGAUGAUGAGCAAGCAUAAGAGCAGCAAGGAAUACCACUAGCAAGGAUAAGAAAAAGGAAUUAGCCACUUUAAGAAGUGAUAUUAUUAUUAGUGUUGGUGCAUAAUACAUAGAGAGUUAACUGGUUUUAUACUAGUUAGAGACUCAAUGUGAGUUUAUGGUCAAUCUAAGUCAUUUACUAAAUUCAAGAAUGUUACACUCAUAGGUACCAUGUAUUUGCUACUUGUUGAUGAUCAGUACCUAUCCUUUCAUUUUCCACACAACAAGACCAUUUAGUAUUAUUGGCUCUAUCUCUCCACUUGUUUGCACACCAAUACGAGGUUUUUUUUUAAAGGAGAAUCAACCAUUUGGAUAAUACAAUAUCCUUAUUUUAUUUAUUUGAAUUUGAAUGGCAACCACCAAGGCCACAUAUAGAAAGAAUAAUUUCCUUAAAAAAAAAGAAUAAUUUCCGACCAAUCGUACAUGAUGUCAUCGACACAACAAAAGAUAGGUUUCAUAAUAUGGCGCCAUAAUAUCCUUAUCCUUGUAAAUAUGAUUAAAAAAAACCUUGUUAAUUAAGUUGUAGGAUUUUUUUAAGUUGGAAAAUAUUAACGAGUAUCUUCAGAACAUUCUUUAAACAUUCAAAGGGGUAAGAUUUUAUGAAAGUUGAGGAUUUAUUUCAUUAGAAAUUGAAGUCUUUACAUUUCUUUUAAAGAAUAGAUUUUUCAUUAUGAUGUUUAAAGAGUGUUCCGGAGACACUUGUUAACAAAACUCUUUAAAGUUUUAGGAUGUAAGAAUUUCCCUAAAACACAUGUUAAAGAUAUGGAUGUCAAUGGGUACGGGUAGCAUGAUAUCCGUCUCUAUACCGUUGGAUAUGGUACUUGUACCUAUACUCAUACUCUUGUAGGUAUCUCUAUACGAGUAAUCCAUGGGUAUUUAAUUAAUUAUUUUUAUCCAAUGGGACCAAAACUACAAAAGGGGUUAAACAUAAGGCGGCUCUAUUGUUAUUGUUUUUAUUAGGGGAUAAAAAUCGCAACAUUUGGAACUUAGAGUGCCAAAACUGUAAUUAAACCUAAACUUUAUAGACAUAAUAUAUUUGAUAAUAACUUUUAAUCGGUCAACCCAAAAAAAAACUUCUAAUUAGUCGGUAUAAUUUUAUCUCUAUACUGAAUAUACUUUAUUCAUUAUUCUCGCCAUAUACUAUUUAAUUAUUAAUCUAUGACAAUAACCACGUACAAAGACUUUAUCUAACAAAGGAAAUCAAUCUUAGAAGAUUCAAUCAUGUGGACAAUACAACAUCCUUAUUGUAUUUGUUACAAAAUGCUUAUGACCGUAUUAUACACAAGAUAUAUAAAACAAAGCAUUAGUAACUUGGACCACUUAUUGGAUAUUUCUUUCUCCACAAUCCAUAUUAUUAUUAAUUACUUUGAUUUUUAUCAAACCAAUCUGAUAACACCACCCUCCCUUUUGCUUAAAAUAUAGUGGUAUUUCAGAUGAGGUGACACGUACACACGGACACCAUGGUUUAAUUUCUUUUGUUUCUUUGUCUACGUUUUCCUUUUUUUUAAUAAUAUUGUUUGCUCUGUGCCUAUAAUUUCAGGUAUGGAUCCUCCCUUACUUAAUUUGAGAAAAAAAUGUUAUUUUUGUGUGACUAAUUUUGAGAAAAAUAACGAAGGCAAAGGGGUGGUCCAGAUUCUCCAAUUUGUUUUGUAUCUGUACAUAUGAAUGUAAUUUAUUUUGUUGAAAUUUGGAAAAUUUCGAAUUUCUUAAAUUUAGAUAGUGUAUAUAGAACCCUAUAAUUUUAAAUUUAAGUCUUAAUCAACAUAUAUCCAAAUAAAAUGUCCAACUCAAUUGUAAUUAAUGUAUAUAUAUUUUUUUAAUAUUCUAUGUUGAAAUAUUUUGAGAAUUAACAUAACAUUAGAAAUAUUGAACCGAAAGACUUAAAAAUUGUAAGCGGAAUAGAACACAUUCACAUUUAUUGUAUAUGUACAAAGUCAAUUUAAUUAUUUUCUCUCUAUCUUCAAAAAAAAAUAGACAAUUAGGUUAUGAAAUAACAAAAAAAGACAACCAUGCCCCUUACAAUAAUAUAUACUUUAUUUGAUAAAAAUAACGGAUAACUAGCAAAUCAUGUUGUAAAAUUUAUUAUUUAGAUUAAAGAAAUGCAUUUUUAAUUUUCAUUUACAAUUUUAAGGGUAAAUAUUGCUUUACCCGGUAUAAUAUAGGUCAUUUUUGGGUUUUCCCUUUGCUAUGUUUUUUUUUUUUUUGUUUUCGUCCUUGUAAUUUUUGUUUUUUAGAAUAUCCCUCUAAUAGGCCAUUUUCAUAAAUUUUUUGUCAUUGUGCUUUAACCCAUUUCUUUCGAUGAAACGGUUGUAACAUCUCACAAACAAGCUUAUCUUUUCUUCAUUGAUAGAACCUUCAUCGGAUUCAUCUUCAUUUUGAAUAGAAGAGGUGGGCAUGGACGAAGUGGUGUUUAACGUAAUUGACUUCCUUUCCUUCUUCUUUGAAUCAUCCUCACUAGAUUUCAACUGGAUAAUUUCAUGCUCAUGUUCCUUUAGUUUACCAAAGAGUGUGAUCAUACUAAGAACAUUGAGAUUUUGUGAUUCCUUGAUAGCGGUAACCUUGGGCUGCCAUUCCCUUGUCAUACAUCUCAAAAUUUUAUUACUGCAAUCUUGGUUUGAAAUGUCAUUACCAAGGUUUUGCAAUUUCUGUACAAUAUGAGUAAAUCUCAUUUGCAUGGAAGAGAUGGAUUCACCAUCCUCCAUGCGAAAAAUUUCAUAUUGUUGUACAAGGGUAUUAAGUUUUGAUUAUUUAGCUUCAUUGGUUCCUUCAUGAAGGGUUUCCAACGCAUCCCACAUAGCCUUAGCGGUCUUUUGGAUUGGAGCUUCAUGAAGGGGACGUAUAAUAGAACACCUAUUAUACAACUCCUUAUGGAUCAACUCUUCUGGUAGUUAGCCAUUAAAGAAGAGACCAACCUCGAUGAUACCACUUGCUGAUCGAUAUGGCCAAUAAGGUUGCACGCUAGAGGGGGGUGAAUAGCGGUUAGAUAAAGUUUUUCGGAGUUUUAACAAAAAAGAUUUGAAUUGAUUUGACUAUUGGAAGCAAGCUUGAACAAUCACAACAAUUUGCAAAAAGAUAAAGCUAUGUGCUAAUAAGAUUCAAUAUAGAAUUGAGAGAUUCACAAAACAAAUCUUAUUACAAUUAAAAGUUAAUGGUUCUUGAACAAUUGGCAAAACUAGACAAUUUCAAAUACAUACCUAUAAGAAAAUAUAACAAGCUAUCAAUUGAUGAGUCUUUUAUUAUCUAUUUUAAUAUGUUAUUUAGUUUCGUUUUAAUUAGAUUUAAGUUUAUUUUAUAUUUAUAUUAUUUCCUUUUUGAACUAUUUUACUUUAAUUCCAUAUUGUUAUAUUUUAGGAACGAAUAUUUGAUGGAUUGAGUCUUGGAGCAAAAGAAAGGGAUUUGGAGUUGAUUCGGUACGAAAAUACGAAGAUUUGGAGACAAAAUAUAUCUCCCCAAAGUCAGAAGCUUGGCACAGCCCGUGCUAGGCUUGGCACGGCCGUGCCACACUCCAUAACUACUUUUGCUGCUUUUGCUUAGAUUUUAAGCUACUCUGUUUUAGUUUACUUGUGGAACAUUCUAGUGAUUGCUUAGAUUUUAAGUCGAAUGUAAACUUUAAAUAGAGUAGCCAUCCAUCACAAAUAUUCAUCUUUUCUUGGAAUGCAAUAUGUGACAAUUGUCUUUCUAAUAAAAGUUCAUUUUACUUUCUUGUUAUUUACUUUUAUGCUUUCUCUCUUCUUCUCCUUGUCUACGAUGAACAUUAGUGAGUAGACUUCUCUUGUCUUGGGAUUGUUGGAUAAGUCUAAUGACAUAAUCCUAAUCAAACCAAGCUUUAAACCUUAAUCUUAUGUAACCCUAAUUCCUUAUCUAAAUUCACCGCUUUAACAUGGAUCAACCAUUAUCAAACUGUGGAAACGAAAGUGGAGGGUUUGAUAAUUGUUUAUCCAUCAUCUCAAAUAUCAAUUCAUAAAACGAAAGUGGAGCUUUGAUAUUCGAACAAGUGAAUUUAGACAAAGAUUGUAAAGGCAGCGAAAUAGUCUUUACAAUCUUUGAGAGAUAUAGUUUCGAUCUUCAAGGGAACUAAUAAUGAUCAAGUCAGCGAAAUAGGCUUGGUUGUUAGAGGAACCAAAAUCUAAUAGUAAUCAAGUCAGCGAAAUAGGCUUGGUUGCUAGAGGAACAAAAGAGAAACUGUCUUGAGAAAUUAGGUCUAACAUAAGGUUAUAAGUUUAAUAGUUUGGUUUGUGAAGGACUUGUCAUUAGGAUGAACCAAUAAUUCCAAGGCUUUUAUCUUUUCUUUUAUUUUCUUUUAAUUAAAAACCCAAACUUUUCUAUCUUAUAAACCUUUAGUCUAAUCAUUAUCUAAAGUUAAUUGAAUUCAUAACUCCCUGUCGGAACGAUACUCUUUUCAUACUACUUCGGUAAGACCGUGCACUUGCAGUUUUAUCUCAUCAUCAAUCAAAAACACAAUGCAUAUGCAGUUGAAGAAUUGAAUAGUAAUUGAAACCAAUUGAUCCAAGCUAAGUACUAAAACCUAAUUCAAAGAAUUAUAUUAAUUUUUAUCAAAAACAACUUAGAUCAAUACAAGUUUGUCCCCUAACAAUUUAUCAAUUAACAUAUGCAACAAUUAAAAGUAAGGUGGGUAAGGAAGAGAGAUAACACCCAUAUUUUUAUAGUAGUUCGUUUUUCGUACUCGCUAGAGCUACGUCUACUCUUCUUUGUUAAAACUCCUCCCACAAGGUCAUCCACUAAUAGUAAAAAUGUUGAAUACAAAUGUGAUUACAAGAGUUCGUUGAAACUAAAAUAGUUCUUCAACGCCUAUGUAAACACUCUUCCAAACUUCAAAUAACCUUUGAAUUUGGUGUUCCUUGAAUCUUCGAAUCCUUAUUUACCUGUGCACCCCUUCGAACUCUUCACUCAAGUCUUCAAUACUACGUCCGGUAAACAAAUCCCCUUCGAUGGCAAGAACAAUUAGAAAGAACCCCUAAACCCUUUGGAGGUGGAAUAAGAUUAUUCAUUUCACUUUGGAACCUUGAUUAAGACCAACCAAUUUCCUUGAGAGAACCAUCUUACAAUCCAUAUAAGCACCCUAGGAAAUCAAUGUGACUCAAUGUACAAAGUGAUUAUAAGAAAAAGUGUUUAAUCUUGAAGAAUUUAUGAACAUUGAGUUUUUGAGUCCUAAAGAGAAUAGAUGUAAAUGACUCAAUAAUUUGGGAGUUAUGAGAAAGUGAGUAUAUAUAGUAAAUGAGUGUAUGUGCAAAUUUUCGUCCAAAAAUAACAAUUUGAAUCGAUUCACUAAGAGCAUGAAUCGAUUCAGAUAUUAGAAAUACAAGCUAGAAGAAUAAUGAAGAUUGAUGUGAUUCAGGCAAAAGCUGAAUCGAUUCAAAUACCCCAUGAUGAAGAUUUAUACGAUUCAGAUUAAAAUGAAUCGAUUCAAUGCAACUCAUAGAGUUUUAUGAUACGAUUCAGAUUUGAAUGACUCGAUUCAGGAGUGAACCGAUUCAGGAUAUAUUGAGUCGAUUCCCGCAAAGUCAGAGAGUUUGCGUGAUACGAUUUAGAUAGCUGUGAAUCGAUUCAUCUGUGCAGAAACAGAAUUUUGAAAGCAAAUGAAGGAAAUUUUGACACACGGGUAAAAAGAACAUUAUGCCACAGAUCACUAAGGUGCUUUAACAAGUUAUAAGUCUAGUUUACAAAGACAGAAACAAUAUGCUAGGAAAGACAAACUUGCAAUUAAAACAUCAUCAAAAUGACGGUUGGAAAAACAAGCUUCAAAUUUCACCAGCCUCAUUUAAUAUGGUCAACAUUAGUUGACUUUUUAUCUUUGCAGGAAUCGAAGUCUUUUUCUUGAACUUGAGGAGUUUUGACGAGAUGUUGGACUUAGCAUGAAAGGGGUCUAAACGCCCUUAGGUUCGACUAGACACGAGUCAGCGAUGCAAAGCUAUCGAAGUCAAGCAACUUCCGUUGAGGCGGGAAGAUUUGAAUUUCAAAGAGAAGCGGUUUCCUCAAAGGAGAACGUGGGAUAAAAACAGUUGUCUCAAUGGAAGAAGUGAUGAUUGUGGGAUUAUGCUUUUGCCGGUUAUUUUCCUAUGUAUAAAUAGUAGUUUUCCAUAGGGAAAAUGGAUCGCAAAUCACCUAUACAGAAUUCUAAAACACUCGAAGCAUUGGUGUGAGAGAAAAGAGUCACAAAGAAUAUAUUUAAAGGAUCUGCUGGACCACCUUUAUAUUUAAUGCAUUGUAUUUUAAUUUUCCUUUGAGUUUAUGCAAUUUAAACUUAAUGUCUUUACCUUGCUUUAAAAACCCUUUUUUCUUUCGAAAGACGUCACACUGUCUCGUCUUGUUCGUAAAGAAACCUAUGAACUCGACGGACACUUCAAAAACAAAUGCACAACAUGUCCUGGGAUUUUUGGUUUGAUCCUACUUGUAAUAACCAAAACAACCCUCGUUGUUUACCAAAAACACCGUAAACAAUAUCAAUCGAUAAAAUUAAUAAUCGACGUUCUCAUAAAAAAACAAUUGAUAGUAAUUUAUUUAUUUUUGGUACAAUAAACCAAACCCCGUAAUUUCAAAUUAUUUAGCACAUAAUUAAUAUAAUUUAAAGUUAUAUACAAGAUAUUAAUUAUUUUGACGAUAGUAAAUUAUCAAAUGAUUUUAUAUCAAUAAUAUUUUUUAGAGUUAAUAAGGUUUUUUUUUUGGUAGAUAGACAAAUUGGCAAAGCCAUUAUAAACUCACACACACAAGUGAAGGUACCGGGGUUCGAACCCCGGUCAUGGCAUCCGGCCUAACAAUUUCGGCAUUUUGCCAGUUGAGCUAGGACUUCUGGAUGAGUUAAUAAGGUUUUACCCCUUGUAAUAUAAGUCAUUUUCGAUUUUACACUCUGUAAAUGUUUUUUUUUAUUUACCCUGCUAAUAGGCCAUUCAAAAAUGAAAAUUUCUGAAAAAUAAAAAUAAAAAUUGGUUUUAGAAUGACCAAUUAGGGGGUAAAUGAAAAAUAUUACAGCGGGAUAAAUAAAAAAAAUUACCGGAUGUAAAACUGGAAAUAACCUAUAUUAGAGGGGGUAAAACCCUAUUAACCGUAACUUUUACAAAAAAUUAAUAAUAAAUUUUAUAGACAUAAUAUAUUUGAUAAUUACUAAUAGUUAGCAACCCCUAGAGAAAAAAAAUACUUGUAAUUAGCCAGAAGAGUUUUAUCGCUAUAGUAUAUAAACACGGAAAGCCACCAUUGAAUAAGGAUCAGGAGAGAGGGCACAAUACAUGGACAAGAGGCGAUUUAAUUCCUUUAGAAAAAAUCUUUGUAUGUGGUUAUUGUUAUAAAGGGAUGGAUUCAUCUCCGGUCCAUGUAUAUUGCUCUCUCUCUCAUGUUCCUUAUCCAAUGGUGGCUAUGAGAUCAUAAAGAAAACAUUUUAUAAUAUUACUCUAGGUGAGAGAGAGAGAGAGUCAACAAGAGAGGAUCCAGAUCCUUUUCUAAAGGAGAAUCAACCAUCUAUCGCUAACAACAAAUUAAAACCCUUCGGGUACAAAAAUAACGACUAAAGUAAAAAUAUAAAUGAAACAUUGAACUGUUUUAUGAAAUUAUAAUAAACUUCAAAGGGUAAAAUUGGUUUUUAGAUAAUCAUAAGGGAUUACCAAGCAGAGUUAUAAGUUAUAAGCUUGUGAUGAAACGACGGUUACCACUUAUAGAACUAACAUAAAAAAAUUAAUAGUGAGGGAUGUCUAAUGAAGAUUGGUAGCUAGUAGUGUUAUGUUGUUCAUGAAGUUACAGUUAUAUAUAAAUAUUGUAAGUGGGUGUUGUUUAUUGAAGAUAGGGAGAUCAAAGGGGAAAUGCUGGAAAAUGAUGAUGGAAAAAUAUAAAUCGAUAUUAUCUUUUAUAAUAGUCCUUAUGAACAUCAAAAUUAAGUUUGGUAUUUUUCAUUAUUCAUGUCGGCGAUUUUUACUAGUUUUGAUUUAAGUAAACGUUUUGAUUGACUUCAAUGACUAAAGUAACUAAGAGAAUAAAGAGUGAAGGAUUUAAUUGGCGUUUUAUUCAAGUCGUGGACCAAAAUUAAAUCAUGUUACACUUCUAAGGAGAAAAAUGGUUGUUUUUCCAAUAAUGUUUUCCAAUAUUAAAUUAAAGUUUAUUUAUGCCUUAGGGAUGUUACCAACCAAUUUGUUGGGUUGGAGUUACCUUUGGUGCUUAAGAACAUUUAGACCAAUAAAAAUAUCUUAGAGUACCUUUUAAAGUGGCAAGUACAUAUAGAGUCAUUGUCAAUUGAUGUUAGUACUAAUCAUGGACUAUUUAUUUGCAAACUUGUUUGUUUUUUAGUAGAUUUUUUUUUAAACAGCAAAUUUUAUUUAUAUGCUAACCCAACACAAGAAGUGAAGAGGCUAGAGGAAAGACACAAGAUAACAGAUACAUAAAGACAGACAACUAAACCAAAGGCCAAAAAGCCACAACACAAAACCACCCAAACAACCCUUAAUACAAUAGAAUCACAGCAGAAAAACCUUAACCAAAUCAAGCAAAUUAAAAACAAUUACUUAGUUGAUAUUUGUAUGCCUUGUCGCGUUGAUGUUUCAGAAAUGUCUAGGUGGAGGGGAAUGGUGGUGGGGGGGAAGGGGGUGAAUGUUUAUAAGGUCGAAAUUUGACUACAGGAGGACGGUAAGGGGGUAAAUGUCCUGGGAACUGGUUGGAUGGAGGUUUGAAUAUUGGAGUGAUAUGAAAGGCAGCAUCAGCAAAAUGUUGAGGACCAAACAUAAGAGCAGCAAGGAAUACCACUAGCAAGGAUAAGAAAAAGGAUUUAGCCAUUUUAAGAAGUGAUAUUAUUAUUAGUGUUGGUGCAUAAUACAUAUGGAGUUAACUGGUUUUAUACUAAUUAGAGACUCAAAGUGAGUUUAUGGUCAAUCAAAGUCAUUUACUAAAUGUCAAAAUUGUGUAUGAAUUGAAUUAUUCAACAAUGUUACAAGGUCCAUGUAUUUGCUACUACUUGAUGAUCCUUUCAUUUUCCACACAACAAGACCAUUUAGUAUUAUUGGCUUUAUCUCUCCGCUUGUUUGCACACCAUAUGGUUGCGCUCCUUAAUUCUGAAAUAUAGAAUGAUUUUAAACUCAUUUUAGAUUCUCCAAAAAUUAAAAUCUCAUUCCUACGACAACAGAAAAUGGAAGAAACACAAGAUUGUUGGUGUAUUGGUAGCUUACAGUCUGUUGGAAAAAUUCAAUAAGCUAGUUUAUAGUUUCUUUUAAAAAGUAUAUGAGUUUAUAGUUUAUUUUAUUAAUUCCUUUUUCACAAUUGCUUACCUGUAAGAUUAAAAAGUAUAUGUUUCACAAUUGCUUUUUCAUCACAGACUUAUAGUUAUUUUAUUAAUUUAUAGCUUAUUUUUUAGAAGUUAUUUCAAAUAGUGUAUGAGCUUAUAAUUUAUUAUUUUUAUUUCACGCUUACCUUUCAUCAAAUGAUGGAACCGCUUUCCGGACCCUGCGUAUACGUGAGCUUCAGUGCACCGGGUUGUCCUUUAUUUCAUGCUUACCUUUAUUAUUUUGUCUCAAAUUUAUUUUUAUCCUUUAUAAUUUGUAAUAAAGAAAAUGCUAAAAUGUUCUAAAAAAUUGAUAAUUAAGUCAUAAAAUAUUUACAUUCUAAAAAUAUUCAUUCCAACUUUGUUUAAAGAUGCAUCUUCAUCAUCAUAUUCUUGUAAAAAAAUCAAACAGUAAAUUUCAAACGGAAAUUCUUAAAAUUCUUCAAAAAUGCUUUUAUUUGUACAAUUCUAAAGAAUUUAACCACUCCUUAAAAAAAAAAUUAACCAUGUGAUGAUCAGUACAUAUCCUUUAAUUUUACACACCAUAAAAUCAUUUAGUAUUAUUGGUACUAUAACAAGGUAAUGAGUGGAAGUUAUUUGCUACUAAUAUUCUUGAAUUAAGAUUUAGAAAAACCGUACUCCAAGAGCAUGAUAAAUUUUGCAAAUCUAUUCAAAAAAGAGUAUUGACGAGUUUUACAUUUACACGCUCCUUGAACAUUCAUCAAUAUAUCAUCAACAAAACCAAUAUGUAAAUACUACUCCGUCCCUAAAUAUAUAGGAGUCUUUUGUAAAAAUUACGGAGAUUAAGAAAGUUAGUUUUAGUAUUAAAUUUGAAUAUAAUUACUAUUGUUUUUACGAUUUUAUCCUUAAGAGAGAGUUAAUUUAUGUUUUCAACAUAAUAUUUAUUUUUGAUUGAAGAAAAAGAUGCAAAAUAAAUAAAGGUAUGUUACUAAAUAAAUAAUUAAUGUACUAGGGACGGAGGUAGUAUUAGAUAAGGAACAUGAAUAUUUGGGAGGAAAAAUUCUUUGCAUAAGAGGAUCGUCUUAAACAACAAACUGAAAUUAAAAAUACUUGCAAUUGCGGAAGUCUUAAACAACAAACUGAAAUCAUAUCACGAAUAUUAUUAAGUUAUGGACCAAUUUGUAUGCAACAGUUAACCACCAACUACUGCAAGAAAAUAUCAUAUUAGCUACCAAAAUCUAGCUACGGUCUAUUGCUCUAGUUAAUUUGUCUUUAAUUAGCUUUGCUCUUACUACAAGUGAAGUUUGCUAGCUGAUGCUUACACUUGUUCGUUUUUUUUUUUUUUUUGAUUGUACCCAAAUAAAACUAUUUAGCAUCACUGCAAAUGCAUUUUUUUUCAAUUCUUUUGUUUAUGCAAUUUAGAUUCACUCUUGUGGAAUCUAUAAUGUGGACUCUAUAAUAUAUAUUGUUGAUGUUAAUAUUUUUAAAAUUUUAUUUUCAAAUGAGCGUUCAAAUAUACUGAUGCUAAAAUUUUGUAAAUUUUAAUUCUACAAAAAGCAUGCAUGAAUACUUAUGCAAAAAAAAUUACUCAUUUUUUUCUUUAUUUAUUUUGACAAAAUUUCAUUUUCCCCCAUUUAUCUUCUUUCCCACAAUUUUUUUAACACUUCCCGAAAUCUUUUUCCCACUAAUAUUUUAUUUUCCUUUUUCUUUUUACAACAAUUCAUUUCCUCAUCGAACAAAAAGGGAAAACUCAAGAUGUGAAAAAUCAAUAUGAGAAAGCCAUUUUCUCAAUGUGAGUUUAUGGUCAAUAUAAGUCAUUUACUAAAUUCAACAAUGCUACACUCAUAGGUACCAUGUAGUAUUUGCUAGUUAUUGAUGAUCAGUAGCUAUCCUUUCAUUUUCCACACAACAAGACCAUUUAGUAUUAUUGGCUUUAUCUCUCCACUUGUUUGUGCACCAUGGUUGCACUCAUUAAUUCUGAAUUAUUAUAGAAUGAUUUUAAACUCAUUUUAGGUCCUCCAAAAAUUAAAAUACUCAUUCCUACGACAACACAAAAUGCAAGAAACACAAGAUUGUUGGUGUAUUAUAAGCCUGUAAGAUUAUACCGUAUAUGUUUCACAAUUGCUUUUUCAUCACAAGUUUAUAGUUUAUUUUAUUUGAAGUUAUUACAAAUAGUGUAUGAGCUUAUAAUUUUUUUUUUUUAUUUCAUGCUUACCUUUAUUAUUUUGUUUCAAAUUUAUUUUUAUCCUUUAUAAUUUGAAAUAAAGAAAAUACUAAAAUGUUCUAAAAAAUUGAUGAUUAAGUCAUAAAAUAUUUACAUUCUAAAAAUAUUAAUUCCAACUUUGUUUAAAGAUGCAUCUUCAUCAUCAUAUUCUUGUAAAAAAAAUCAAACAGUAAAUUUUAAAUUGAAAUUCUUAAAAUUCUUCAAAAAUGCCUUUAAUUUUCCACACCACAAAACCAUUUAGUAUUAUUGGUGCUAUGAAAAGGUAAUGAGUGGAAGUUAUUUGCUACUAAUAUUCUUGAAUAGAUUUAGCAAAACCGUACUCCAAGAGCAUGAUAAAUUUUGCAGACGGUGAAAAUUUAUUGUGACAAUAAACUAUUUAAAAAAGAGUAUUGACGAGUUUAACAUUUACACUGUAUAAACCCAAAUAUGCAAAAACCCAUAUACUUCUUGAACAUAUCAAGAAAACCAAGAUGUAAAUAUUAGAUAAGGAACAUAAAUACGUCGGAUGAAAAUUUCUUUGCAUAAGUGGAUCGUAAUAAAAAUUAACAAUAAGUUCUUAAAUACAUGCUUCUGAAAGUCUGAAAUACAAUAAAUACAAUAUGCUCUUAAAUUAACAAUAUCAUAGAAAGUCUGAAACUAAAAAUUGCGGAAGUCUUAAACAACAAACUGAAAUCAUAUCAGAAAUAUUAAGUUAUGGAACCAAUUUGUAUGUAAUAGUGAACCACCAACCAUUACAAGAAAAUAUCAUAUUAGCUACCAAAAUCUAGCUACGGUCUAUUGCUCUAGUUAAUUUGUCUUUAAUUAACUUUGCUCUUACUGCAAGUGCAAUUUGACUGGCUGAUGCUUACACUUGUUCGUUAUUGUAUAAAAAAAUUAAAACAAAUUGUAAUGUCUUCUGAUGCCUUUUGGAUCUUCAUUGAUGGUAUUUCCUAGUUCUUCACAAGUCUUUAAGAUGUUCUGCUUUGCGUAUUUGCAUAAUUUCUUCUUGAAUUAUAUAAAAACUAGAAUUACAUGAGUCAAACAGAAAACAUUACAAAUAUCCCAAAAACCAUAGGAAAUUGUUCUAAUACUCCAUUCUGGAUUAAAACUAAUUGAAAAUGACUGGAAAAACAUGCCAAGAAUAACGUAAGAUGAUAUGUUAUCACAACCUCAAACUUAAACUGUUGUUUGUCGGCAAGUAACGAACGAAAAUAAAUUUUAAUUUUGCAUAUUUUUCAAGAAAAACAUAUCUUUUCAAAGAGGUUGCUCAGAUCGUCUUCUCGUCUCAUUUACAGACUUGACUAACUUACACCUUCCAUGAAAGCGCGACAGAAUUAGAGAAUAUAGCCCAUACUCUCAACCACACUCUUAUCCAUGAUACAUGCAUGUAUCACACAAACUCGGUAGGGUUGGUCACGAUAUUUGUCCACUCUAGUCGUCACAUGAAUGUAUCUUGAUGUAAAUUUGAGAGAACUCUAAACAGACAGUCAAGAUCAUACUAUAUACAAAGUAUUAGUUCUUUCAAGGUUAUAACGUAUCUUAGGUUAAGGUGAGAUAUAUUAGAAAAGUAGGCUAACAAAACAACUUGAAGUUAGAUUAUCAACCUGAGGUUUCCUACUAAACAUUGAAGUACUACUAACAUUCCUUCCUUAAACCAAACAAGAUGGGUAUUAAAUAGAACUAUUUAUCUUUUCCUACAUUUGUUUUAAAAGACCAAAAUAUUUGAUGUUUUUAGCUCUUGAUUUUUUCUUUUUUCUAUUUUUUUAUGUAGACCCAUGGUUAUCAACAUUUUUUCAUUUUUUUUCUUUGUGAUAUAAAUAAGUUCUCUGGUAGCCCUUCCUCAAAAAGAAAUCCAAGUUUAGUUUCAAAUCAUACCAAAUUAUUAAAAAUAUUAUAUCUAACUCCAAGAGAAAUCAAAUAGAUGACUUUAAGGAUCAAAACACCCACAACGAGCCGGUAAUAACACAACGCCUAAAACUGAAAAAAAACAAUGCGUCGAAACUCGUUAAGACAACCGUUAGUCUAAUUGGCUAUAUAAGCCUUAAGGUACUAUUAGACAUAACAAUUCUUUCUUAAUAAAUAUUAUUUUCAUUUCACUUUUUCUAUAUUUUGUUUUCAUUUAUGAGUUCCAUCAAGAAUUGUGAUAAUGUGUCACUUGAAAAAAAGAUAGACUAAUGUCACUUAUGAGUUCUAUCAUGAAUUGUAAUAAUGUGUCACUUUUAUAUACAUAUGUUUCAGUAUGGACGGACUGAAGUCAAACACACGUUAGUACUUAGCCAAAAAGCUCGACAAAGUUUCUGGUAACAUAUUUAAUUAAAAUUCAAUAUAAAUAAAAGUGUGAAAAAGCUACUCAACCGUACAAGUUGCCUUUGCAUCCCAGUGCAACUGACACAAAUGUGGUAGCCUCGGUUAGGCUACUAAUACAAUGUGUUAGUUUACAUCAAAAUAUAUAUUCUUUUUAUCAGCAAAUAAAAUUAACAACAGUCCGAGCGCAAUAACCCGAAAGACUUACAGGUACGAGUGAGAAGGAAAAGCAUGCAGAAAACGACUUCUAUUAGUUCGACAGUUUCGUCAAAGGGUGCAGUGAAUGAAUUUGUAUGAGAUGAUGGGUUAGGGUUCUAUUGAGAAGAAUUUCUGGGUGGAGAUGAGAGGGUUCAGUGAGAAGUUGAGAUGAUGGCAUAUGGUUUGAAGGGUUCGGAGUAGAGAAGUUAAAAUUUGAAGGAUCUGUGGGUAGAUGUUUGAGAGGUUUAGGUUCGAUGAAGUGAUUUUGGUAGAAGUUGUGUUUUGGGUGCAGAAAAGAGGAGAGGGAAUGAACAAUUACUUCAGCGCCAGACGCAAAAUUUUGCGGUUUAUUUUUUUUUUUUUUAUUUAACUUUUUUUUUUUUUAAUUUGGUAUGCCGUAUGUGCAAAGAUAGCCCUUCCCCAUUAAACGCUAACAAAUCAUUUACACCAAUAUUAGCGUUCACUAGAAAACGCUAUCACACUCUUAUCAUCACACACCUUUUUUUUUUAUAAUUUUUUUUAAUACCAUAUAAUAGCACUUUCUAUAAAAGGGCUAAUAUAGGUGUCACGUUAUAAUAGCAUGCGUAACGGAAGUGCUAUUAUUAAUAUUAGAGUCAAUCUUUUCAUAGCAUUUUCUCUAAAAGUGCUAUUAAAUUAGCGUUUCCGUUAUAAUAGUCCUUAUGAACAUCAAAUUAAGUUUGGUAUUUUUCAUUAUUCAUGUCGGCGAUUUUUACUAGUUUUGAUUUAAGUAAACGUUUUGAUUGACUUUAAUGACUAAAGUAACUAAGAGAAUAAAGAGUGAAGGAUUUAAUUGGCGUUUUAUUCAAGUCGUGGACCAAAAUUAAAUCUUGUUACACUUUUAAGGAGAAAAAUGGUUGUUUUUCCAAUAAUGUUUUCCAAUAUUAAAUUACAGUUGUUUUAUGCCUUAGGGAUGUUACACUUAAUUGAUAACUUAAAUAAGGUUUUUGGAGGUAAAUAAGAAAGAUGCAAAACCUCCAGCCAAGCCAAAACAACCCCGUUUCGAUUUGUGAACUUGACCAUAAUAUAUUAUACACAAGAUAUAUAAAAACAAAGCAUUGGUAACUAGUAGAUUUUUUUUUUUUAACAGCAAAGUUUAUUUAUAUGCUAACCCAACACAAGAAGUGAAGAGGCUAGAGGAAAGACGCAAGAUAAGAGAUACAUAAAGACAGACAACUAAACCAAGGCCAAAAAGGCACAACACAAACCACCUAAACAACCCUUAAUACAAUAGAAUCACAGCAGAAAAACCUUAACCAAAUCAAGCAAAAACAAUUGCUUAGUUGAUAUUGGUAUGCCUUGUCGCAUUGAUGUUUCAGAAAUGUCUAGGUGGAGGGGAAUGUUGUCUUAUAUGUGGUAAUACAGGUGGUAAUCCAUGUGGUAAACCCCUUACGAAUGGAGUCAAAUUGGUAAAUUUUUGUUCUGGGAUAGUAAUUGGAGGGAGAUUGCAAAAUGUUGAGGAGAAAACAUAAGAGCAGCAAGGAAUAACACUAAUAAGGAUAAGAAAAAGGAUUUAGCCAUUUUAAGAAGUGAUAUUAUUAUUGUGUUGGUGCAUAAUACAUAUGGAAUUAACUGGUUUUAUACUAAUUAGAGACUCAAUGUGAGUUUAUGGUCAAUCUAAGUUAUUUACUAAAUGUCAAAAUUAUGUAUGAAUUGAAUUAUUCAACAAUGUUACAACUUCCAUGUAUUUGCUACUAGUUGAUGAUCAUUAACUAUCCUUAAUUUCAUUUUCCAUACAGCAAGACCAUUUAGUAUUAUUGGCUCUAUCUUUCCACUAAUAGGUAUGUAUUUGAUAAAUUUUAUACACAUUUUUUUUAAAUAAUUAUUUUUAUUAAAUCGCCCUUAGAAAAGUAAAAAAAAAAACAGCCUUUAAUUAGCCGCUAUAGUUUUUUUUUACAAAACUAGCCAGUAUAGUUUUAUCUCUAUAGUCUAAAUACAUUAUUGUUGUCAUUUACUAAAAUUAUUGAUCUAUAACAAUAACCAUAUACGAAGAAUACCUCAAAAAAAAACAAAAAACGUACGAAGGAGAAUCAACCAUCUGGAUAAUACAUAUCCUUAUUUUAUUUAUUUGAAUUUGAAUGGCAACCACCAAAGCCACAUAUAGAAAGAAUAUUUUCCUACCAAUCGUACAUGAUGCCCAUAACAAAAGAUAGGUUCCAUAAUAUGGCCCCAUAAUAUCCUUAUCCUUAUAAUUAUGGUUCAGAAAAUAAAAAACCUCGUUAAGUUUUAGGAUUAUUUUAAGUUGAUAAAUAUUAACGAGUAUCUUCAGAGCAUUUUUUAAGCAUCUAAAGUGGUAAGAUUUUAUGAAAGUUGAGCAUUUAUUAUAUUGGAAAUUGAAGUCUUUACAUUUCUUUUAAAAAUAAUUUUUUCAUUAUAAAUGCUUAAAAGAUGCUCCAUGGACAUUCAUUAACAGGACUCUUUUAAGUUUUAGAAUGUUAGCAUUUCCCUAAGACACAUGUUAAAGAUAGAGAUAUAUUAUGGCCUCUCACGGUAGCACCCGCCUACGUAGCGAGUUUAUGGUCAAUCUAAGUCAUUUACUAAAUGUCAAAAUUGUGUAUGAAUUGAAUUAUUCAACAAUGUUACAAGCUCCAUGUAUUUGCUACUAGUUGAUGAUCACUAACUAUCCUUUCAUUUUCCAUACAACUAGACCAUUUUUUUUUAGUAUUAUUUGCUCUAUCUCUCCACUUGUUUCCACAAAUAUGAUUAAUUUUUUUCGAAAAUUUUGUUUUUUUAAAUAUGAUAUUAUGGAAAACAAAAUUCGAAAAUUUGAAUAUAUAUUAAUCUUUUCCACAAUUUUUUUAAAUAUUUCCCGAUUAUUUUUAUAAUUUUUCCAGAUUUUUUUCAUUAUUUUUUAUUUUACCAGAUUUUUUUAAUCAUUAUUAAUUUUUACAUUUUUUUUUUAAAAUUUUUCAGUAUUUUUUUUAAUCAUUAUUCGUUUUUUAAAUUUUUUUAUUUUUAUUUUAAAAAAAUCACAAAUGCCACGUGGCGUUCAUUUACACGCGUGGCAUGAAAAAAAUUAAACAAAAAAAAAUUGACACGUCACUGCCACGUAGUAGAUUCUGCCGACACAUUGAGGUGAGGGGUCAAUCCUGAAGAAUCUUCAUUUUUCAAGGGUGGAAUCUAAAAAAAAAAAAUUACAGGGGCUAAAACCAAAAGUGCAUUAUAUUACAAAGGCCAAAAACACUAUUAACACUAUAUUAUUACUUCUUCUUUUUUAUAAAAAUCCAAAUAAAAAUCAUUUGCAUUGCAGCCAAUUGGCCAAAUGCAACAUGACAAGCGCAAAAUUGCUCCAUGUUGACUUGUGAGAACUCUUGUUCUAGAUAGAGAACCUUAUAGUUUUUGUUGUCACAGAAAAUGUUAAACAACUUUUUCCAUGCAAUUUAUGCGUCUGAAUCGCGCUUGAUGAUGGUGAUGAGAAUAUAUUCUGAGGUGGUGUCAUAUAUCCAUUAUAAUACGACAACAUCAAAAAGCGGCCAAAGAUUGGGAUUGAUUUCUUUGAGAGAGGGAGUUGUUGGCUUAUUAGUGGGUGAGGGAGGAAUGAUGUGAUGAAAGACUUGAUGAACCCUUGCAUGAAUUUUAAAGAGUUCGAACCACGUAUUAUAUUGGACCCUUUUUUAUACUAAACGUAACCUUGAUGAAAUUGGUGAUAAUUGAAAAUGGUGGUAGAGGGAUGGAUAGGUGUGGAAGGAGUUGGGGUUGAAAUUGUCCUUCGAGUGGUAGUAUUUUUGGGGAUGAUUCGGCCCUGAUGGUGAAUGAAGGAGAAGAGGAACGAUGGCGCUGUAUUAGGUUUACGAGAGAAGGAUGAGUACCAAUAACUUACUGAUACCAUGUAAGAAUUAUAAUAAGAUAAUUAUUAGUCGUGUGUCAUUUGCAUUGAGAGGAUCCGUUGACACUAGGUGUCAAACUUUAGUUUGACAUCAAAUCUCAACCGUCUAUUAUGUCUAAUCUAAUGGUCUGUGAUUAUUUAUUAAAUUAACUUGUGUGAUCUUUUUCCCAUGUCUCACCUGAUCCCACGCCGGCUGUUCUGCUCCAUCUCCUUCAACUUAUCAAAGUUAAUAUGGCCAACAAUCAAAUACACACACAAAUUAAUUCUUUUAUUUUUUAAAGAAGAAGAAGCUAAAUUAGCCCACACAAAUUGGCACCGGAGAGAAUCGAUCCUGAGACCUCGAGGAGGAGCACACUCCCAGAUCCCAAGUCAAUACCACCAGACCAACCCAAAUGAUAAAUAAGGAGUUAAUUCUAAAUAAGGAGUUAUACAUAUAAUUACAUAUUGUUGACAUUAAUUGUUCUCUGUGGGGCAAGAUACUUGAGGUGUAAGUUUCAUAAGAUGCAAGUUCUUUUAAGUCUAAAUUGUCUUAUACUUACAUUAUUUUAGGUCUAAAUUUCAGAAACCAUUAUCACAAAUUUUUUGACAAUCUUAUAUCACAUACUCGUACUAUAUUUUUACUUCUCUUUUUGUUGUUUUGGUUUUUGUUUUCAUACCUAAUUUUCCUUGUAAAUAUAUAGUUGUCUCAUAAAUUAUCGUUAAAAUUGUUGUUCAAAUAACACAACUCUUAUUUCUAAUACUCAAAAUUUGUUCAAAUUAAGUUUUUAAAGAACUUCUAAUAAAAUCAGAUUAAGUUUUUUUGAACUUUCUAAAUACUUAAAUUGAAUUUUCUCGAAUAUACAUCUUGGAGAAAGAAAAAAAAUAAUUAUAGGAGGGAGAUGCAAAACUUACGUUUUCUUUCUCUAGAAACAUAUUUUGAGUUUUCAAUAUCAUCAAAAUCAUAAACUUUAUUUAUUUGCAAAUCUAGAGCACAUAUAGCACGAUUUUCUCUCAUAAUUUACAUUGAUAUAACACAUAUUAUGUUCUUACCUUGCCCAAACAUUCGGGAUUUAAUUGAUAAUGUAAAAGAUGUUUUCAAAUGUAGAAUAAGAAAGAUGGAAAACCUCCAAGCCAAAUUAUACACAAGAAUAUAAAACAAAGCAUUUACUUGGUAGAUAAUAUUUUCUUUUUAAACAGCAAAUUUUAUUCAUAAUAAGAUAACCUAACACAAGAAGUGAAGAGGCUAUAGGGGAAAGACACAAGGUAACAAUACAUAAAGACAACUAAACCAAUGCUAAAAAGCCACAUCACAAAACCACCCAAACAACCCUUAAUACAAUAUAAUUGAACCAGUUUCCAUCAACACCACAUCAAUAGACCCCUAAAUAAUUGAACAAAAACCAGCCACCUAAACUUCCUGGUACCAGUAAAUUACAAUUACUUAGUAGAUAUUGAUAUGUCUUGUUGCAUUGAUGUUUCAGAAAUGUGUGGCUGGAGGGUAAUCUUUGGGUCGUAACUUCCACAAUAUCUUCGAGCAGCGAUUGAUUUUGGGAGGUUUGAAUUUUGGCAAGGCAGCAUCAACAGCAAAAUGUUGAGGAGCAAGCAUAAAAGCAGCAAGGAAUAACACUAAUAAGGAUAAGAAAAAGGAAUUAGCCAUUUUAAGAAGUGAUAUUAUUAUUGUGUUGGUGCAUAAUACAUAGGUAGUUAACUGGCUUUAUACUAGUUAGAGACUCAAUGUGAUUUUUUGGUCAAUCUAAGUCAUUGUGUAUGAAUUCAAUCAUUCAACACGUAGGUUCCAUGCAUUUGGAAAACUAGUUGAUGAUUAAUAAUGUUCAAUAUAUUAGGCUAUGAAUUGUUUAUGAAUUGAAUUAUUGAACAAUGUUACAUGUUCCAUGUAUUUGCAACUAGUUGAUGAUUGGUAGCUACCUAUCCUUUAAUUUUCCACACAACAAGACCAUUCAGUAAUAUUGGCUCUAUAUCUCCACUUGUUUGCCCACACCGUGGUUUAGCUGAAAAAACAGUGUACUGGAGGUGGAACAUGUUUUAAUAACAUUAAUAUGUAGAUAUUAUUAUUUAUGCAUUGAACCCUGUAUUGAUAAAAAUUCCACAUAGGUUACUUUAUUUGUCAUUUAUGCUUGAAUAUAUAAAUACAAAACAGUGUUUUUUCUUAUUAAAAUAGGGGGAUUUUAGGCUAGCUUUUGUUAUUCUAAUUAUACCCUUAAAUAAAUAAAAAAUCAAAUAAUGUAAUAUUGUUGGUAUAAUUAAAAAAAUAAGAAUUUUUGUUAUAUUAUUGUUGUCAUUGAGUAAGAUAAAUAUGGUUUGUUGAGUUUGUUACAUUUGAAAGUCACAUAUAUUUAUACUUAUAAUUUUAAUCUAUAUCAAAGAGUUUAUAUAAAAUAUCGGUUGUAAUUUACACGCAAAAUUUCUAUAAAUUAUCGUAGAUAAUCUAUACACGUUAACGUAUUAAAAAGAGUAGAAAGAUGCGCAUGUGACUGCCCGUAUUUUGGUCCCUUAACUUCUCUCUCUUACACAUUUUGGUCCUUUCCAUUAGUUUAAUUCAAAAACGUUGAAUUUUCUUCAUCUUCUUCUCCUCUUUUUCAUCUUCAUAUCAUCUCCAUCAACCUUCAACAACAAGAAUCCCAAAAAAAAUUAUAGAAGAAAAUGAAGAAAACCUAACGUUUUUGAAUUAAAACUAACGGAAAUGGCCAAAAUGUGUAACAGAGAGAAGUUAUGAGACCAAAAUAAAUCGAAUUUUAAUUAAGGGAUCAAAGCGAUACUACCUAAAUAGUUAAGGGACCAAAAAUGCAAUUUAGCCUAUAAUCUAAUAUCAUCGUUAUUAAAUAUUAUUUUAUAAUCUAAUAUCAUUGUUAUUAAAUUUUAUAGCAAGUAUCAAACGAAGAACCGAGAGUUGUUGUUUGAUAUUGUUAUUUAAUCAUGUCUCGUAUAUCAAAGGAAGGAUCGAGAGGUAAAAUUUGAUAUUGGAAUAAAUGAGAUUGUAAACGAUAAGCAAAAUAUGAGAAAAAUUUUGUGACUCUUAUGACAAUAAGGUUAUAAGGUUGCACUCAAAAAGUUUUAAUGAUUAUCAACUAUGAGAAUAGGUUUAAUUACUGUUGAGAUACAUUCAUGUAAUCUGAUAGGAAACAUGAAAUAUCAAAGAACAUCUUGUCCUUAGAAACGAAUAGAGAAAUAUAUAGGGAAUGUUUAGAAUUUAACUUUAUGAUGAAAACCUCAAUCUCAUGACGCAUUUUAAUAUCUGAAUUUUAAUCUAAAAAAUCAUUGCACUUAAUCAACUUAUCUUUUUCAGCUAAUCAAGACUAAAAAUUAGAUUAGAAUUUACUUUAAGUCCAUGUGAAUCGAUAUUUUACUAGAACCGUACACUUGCAGAAACCUAUCAAAGACCCUAUUGAUGUAUAUGGAAUCGUAGUUACCUAUCAAAGCUACAAAAUUUAGAUCGGACUUGGGGGUCUUUCUAACCGUUCUUGAAGUCGUAGGGGGGUUCGUUUACCGGAUGUAGCAUCGAAGGCUUGAGUGCAGAGUUCGAAGGGGUGCACAAGUAUUCAAGGAUCCGAAGAUUCAAGAAGCACCAAAUUUAAGGGUUACUUGGAGUUUGGGGGAGUGUUUUACAUAGGAGUUGAAGAAUUAGGUUUUAAUUUCAAGGAACUCUUGUAAACACAUUGUAUUCAACAUUUGUUACAUGGUGGAUGAUCUCGGUGAAGAUGUACUUAAUCAAGAAGAGUAGAGGUAGAUCUAGAGAGGACGAGAAAGAGCAAUCUAUUAUAAAAAUAUCGGUGUGAUCUCUCUUUCCCUAUCCUCUUUACUUUUAGAUAUUGCAUGUGAUUAAUUGAAUAAUUUUUAGGAUAAUUUCUAGUGUUGAUCUAAGUUGUUUUUCAUUGAAAAUCAAUCUAAUUCAUUGAAUUAGGUUUCAUAUAAUUUGCUUAGAUCAAUUGAAUGCAAAAUCUAUUCAAUUCUUCAAUUACACAUGUAUUGUGUUUUUUAUUUGAUAACUUAGUAAUUUUGUUCAUAUAGAUUUGGUUUGAAAUUGUCUAUUGUUUUAUACAUUGUUCAAGGAAUAUUAAAGUUUGAUUGUAUAAUAACAUUUAGUAACAAGGUGAUUGCAACACUUGAAAAAUUGUUAGCUGAUAUAGUGAUAUAGUAACAAUUGAGUAAAAGUGUUAGAUCCAAUACAACAAGUACCAUCCCUAAAAAAAAAACAAAAAUACAAGUAACAAUAGAACUCAUUCGUUAUUCAUUCACGUGUUAAAAAAUUUAGCUGAAAAAACAGUGUACUGGAGGUGGAACCUGUUUUAAUAACAUUAAUAUAUAGAUAUUAUUAUAUAUGCAUUGAACCCUGUAUGAUUUAUUGAUAAAAAUUCCACAUUACGUUAUUUGUCAUUUAUGCUUGAAUAUAAAAAUACAAAACAGUGUUUUUUCUUAUUAAAUUUUUUAAUUAAUUUAUAAAGACUUUUAAUAACUUAGUGUUUACCAAUUGCACUCAUUAAUUCUUAAUUAUAGAAUAAUUGUAAACCCAUUUUAGAUCCUCCAAAAAUGAAGAAAGCUCAUUCUUAGGACAACACAAAAUGGAAGAAACUCAAGAUUGUUGGCAUAUUGGUAGACUAUUUCUGUUUGACAAAUUCAAUAAUCUAGUUUAUAGUUUAUAAGUCCGAAUGAUUAAAAAAUAUAUGUUUCAUAACUGUUUUUUCAUCACAAGUUUUAUAGUUUAUUUUAUUAGUUUGUAGGUUUUUUUUUAGACUUUAUUCCAAAUGUGGAAUAACGUUUGAGAUUAUAGUUUAUCCUUUAUAAUCUAUAUUAUAUAUAAUGAAAAUAGGGGGAUUUUAGGCUAUCUUUUUUGUUAUUCUAAUUAUAUCCUUAAAUAAAAAGAAAUCAAAUAAUGUAAUAUUGUUGGUGUAAUUAAAAAAAUAAGAAUUUUUGUUAUAUUAUUGUUGUCAUUGAGAAAGAUAAAUAAAUAUAGUUUGUUGAGUUUGUUACAUUUGAAAGUCACAUAUAUUUAUACUUAUAAUUUCAAUCUAUAUCAAAGAGUUUAUAUAAAAUAUCGGUUGUAAUUUACAAGCAGAAUUUCUAUAAAUUAUCAUAGAUAAUCUAUACACGUUCACGUAAUAAAAAAAAGCAGAAAGAUGCGCACGUAAAUGCCCGUCUUUGCACUAGUUUAUUAUAAAAAAAAUGCUAAAAUGUUCAGUUCUUUUGGUCAUACUGCACAAAUUAUUUGGUAGCUUGACAUAUAUGUUACUGAUGUAAACUUCACUCUCACUUUAAUUAUGUUACUCCACAGUCCUCUAAAAUUGUGUUUCUCUUUUUUCCCUAAAACUUCUCUUUUGGAUUAUUCAAUCCGAAUUAAGUUGUUUCUGGUUUGAAAUAUAUAAUUUGAACUGCUUCUAUAUAUGUUUUCUCUUUAUUUUGUGGCUAUUUAUUAAUUGUGUGUAUAUCUGAUUUUAACACUUUCAAAUAUUGAUCGCAUGGGCUGUGUUAGGAAUGAUAGAAUUUCCUUGACUGCAUCUUCUAGGUGAGAGCAGACGUAGAAGAAUGUACUAGAAAGGAGAGUGGUCAAGGGCAGGGGCAUGGUCCGCAAUGCUGAGACGCAGAGAGGUCGUCAGUUCCUAGACAUUAGUGGAAGUUUAGGGCGCAUCGGGGAACAUGUCAGAAAUAUUUAACUUUUUUAGUGAAUAUUUUUUUAAUUUAAAAUUUUUAAAGAGUGUCUCGAAGAUACUCGUUGGCAAGACUGAUAAGUUGUAGUUAAUGGUGUUUUUAACAUUUAAAUUCAAUAAUAUUUACGUUGUUUUAGUUUUAAUUUAGAUUCAUUUUACUGGAAAGCAUUAGUUUUUGUUUUCAUAAUCAAAAAUUUGAAGAACAGUGUACCUGGAUCAAGAGCGAGGAUAAAGAGCCAUAAAGCAACAACAUGGAUUGUUCGUGGUUCCAUCUGGGUUGUGCACUUCUUAAAAUGUCAGAAUUUCAAAAGUUGAAGUACAAGCACGACCGUGCCCCCCAACACCGUAGAAAUAAGCAUGAUUGUGCGCUUCAGAAGCACGACUUUGCACCCCUCAAAACAUGUCAAAAGUUGGAAAGGUGAUCAUGACCGUGUACCCUUGAAGCAUGACUGUGCACCCUUGAAGCACGACCGUGCGUCUUGUGCAGAGAAAAUAGUUGUUACAACCUUUUAGAAUUCUUUAGUUUAUGGCUUGUAACUCGUUUUUAAUAUAUUAUAUGAGGCUCUAGGCUAUAAAUAUACCUCACUUCUAAGGAAAAAAGAAUCUUAGAUACUUGUAAACUUACUCUAAAGUUGAAAACAUAAUUUUGCAAUGUUCUAAGUUCUUUGUUCUUUAUUUUUCAUUUCUUUACAUUUGUGUUCUUUACUCUUCUGUUCUUUACAUUUUAAGUUAUUUACUUUCAUGUCUUUUACUUUCUUGUCUUUAUAUAUUAAUCAUUCGUCUACUAUGAGAGAGAGAGAGAGAGAGAGAGAGAGAGAGAGAGAGAGAGAGAGAGAGAGAGAGAGAGAGAGAGAGAGAGAGAGAGAGAGAGAGAGAGAGAGAGAGAGAGAGAGAGAGGUGAUAUUAGUGCAGAACACAUAGCAAAAGAGAAUGAAAAAAGAAGAUCCCGAUCCUUUUCUAAAGGAGAAUCAACCAUCUAUAUAACGACAAAUUUAAACCCAUCAAGUACAAAAAAACGAUCAAGGUAAAAAAUAUAAACGGAACAUUGAACAAUUUUAUUAAAUUAUAAUAAACUUCAAAGGGUAAAAUUGGUUUUUAGAUAAACAUAUAAGGGGUUACCAAAUAGGGUUACAAGUUAUAAGCUUGUGAAGAAAACGUCUUGGUUGACUUCAAUGACUAAAGUAACUAAGACCAAAGAGUGAAUGAUUUAAUUCGGAUUUUAUCUAAGUCAUUGACCAAAAUUACAUCUUGUUACACUUUUAAGGAGAAAAAUGGUUGUUUUCUCAAUAAUGUUUUCCAAUAUUAAAUUAAUGUUGUUUUCUGCCUUAGGGAUGUUACCAAUUUGUUAUGUUGGAGUUACCUUUAGUGCUAAGAAACCUUUAGACCAAUAAAAAUAUUUUGAGUCCCUUUUAAAGUGGUAAAUACACUAAUAUAAAGUCAUUGUCAAUUGAUGUUAGGACUAUUUAUUAAUAAUGCAAUAUUUACUUGUUGUUCUUUGGUAGACACUUAAGGUGCGUUUGAUUUGUUAAAAAAUGAAGGACAGAACAACUCUAGUUGUCCAGUGUUUGAUUUGUAAAACUGUUUUAGGUACAAGACAAUUUGGAGGCAAGGGACAGGACAAAAACUCAUUUUUGUCCCUCACCAACCCACAACACAACUUUUUGUCCCACGUACAAGUUGUCUAAAAUACCAAAAUAGCAUUUUGUCCCUCAAAAAUCGUAUAAAACAAAAAAUUACUCAAUGCCAUAAAAAAUUUGUCCUGUCUUGUUCUGCCUUGUGUUGUACUGUUCUAUCUUGUACUGUUUUGUCCGGUACUUGCUGUUUUGCAAACCAAACACACCCUUAGAGGUCAUUUUUGUGGACUGUAGGUACCUAAAGCUCUAUGAACUUGGUUAUAUCAUAGAUAACGUCGUAUUGGAAAAACGGAAAUGAAAGACUCAUCUCUCACUCUACUUAGGGCUAGCCAAUUGUCAAACGCCAAUUGUCAAACUUGGUUACAAUUAAUUUUUUUUGGAAAACUUAUUUUGAAUUUUCUACAUGUCAUGAAAAAUUCAAAUUUCUGUUUUCUGAUUAGAAGAUCAAUAAACGGUUCAAUAUCAUCACAAUCUCCAAAUCAUAACUUCAUUCAUUUGCAAAUCUAGAGCACAUAUAUCACGAUUUUCUAUCAUGAUUUGCAUUGAUAUAAGUAAGUAUAACACAUAUAUUUUACUCUUAACUUAGCCAUACAUUGCGGAUUUACUUAGUAGAUAGAGUAAUGUUUUUUUUUAAACAACAAAUUUUAUUCAUAAGCUAACCCAACACAAGAAGUGAAGAGGCUAGAGGAAACACACAAGACAACAGAUACAUAAAGACAACUAAACCACCCAAACAAUCCUUAAUACAAUAGAAUAACAUCAGAAAAACCAGCCACCUAAACUUCCUAGUACCAUGAAACAAUGUCAGGUCGCGUUGAUUUUUAGGCUGGAGGGCAAUGUUUGUUUCGGAAGUUCUCGACUUUCUUCAACAAAGGGUAGUGCUUUUUGCAGAAAUCGGGUAUAUGGGGUAUAUGUACUGGUUUAUCUUUUGGGAUUAAAUUUUUGAUUUUUGGGAUUAAUGCUUCAACUGCGGGACCAAAGCUAACAGCAUCAGCAAAAUGUUGUUGAGGAGCAAGCAUAAAAGCAGCAAGGAAUAACACUAAUAAGGAUAAGAAAAAUGAAUUAGCCAUUUUAAGAAGUGAUAUAAUUAUUAGUGUUGGUGCAUAAUACAUAUGGAGUAUACUGGUUUUAUACUAGUUAGAGACUCAAUGUGAGUUUAUGGUCGAUCUAAGUCAUUUACUAAAUGUCAAAAUUGUGUAUGAAUUGAAUUAUUCAACAAUGUUACAAGUUCCAUGUAGUUGCUACUAGUUUAUGAAUUGAAUUAUUCAUUCGAUUCUCCGCGCGACUCAGGUGCAUGCCGAAACCGUUUUAAUUAUAUGAGCAAAUUAAUAAAUAAAUGGGUUGGUGCUUAUGAUGGUGCUAAGCGUUUGCAAGGAAGCGGUUGGUCGAAAGAUGAUGUUUUGGAAAAAGCCCAUGAAUUAUAUGUGAAACACCCCGUUUUCCCAACUUGAAUUUUUUUGCAUAAAUCAGAGUAAAACAACUAAACAGGAUGCUGCACUUCUUUCAAAUCUGAAUAUAGUAAAAUUACUAAUUAUCUCAAUCAUCAAAUUAAAUCUUAUUGCAGCGGAAAUUAGUUCAACGUUUAAAACAACCUUGGCACAAAGGCCUCAAUGUAAAAUCUCAUAAAAUUAUUCCAACAACAUGUUCAUAAAACUUCAUAAAAUAAUACGUAAGGAACGUAAAGCAACAACAAAAUUCUCAUCCCGUUACGUAUCAGAGCACCUAAGACACACGUGAGAGAAUCCACUCACGACCGCAACUAUUCUUGGUUACCUGCAAGUUACUCAAUUGUGAGGGCAACAUUUCCAAGCAGAAGGGGUGAGAUUUCACAUUCAAUAAUAAUAAGCAUAUAAUUCAUCAAAUUCAUUUAACAACUUAAACUUCAUCAAUUAGUAACACUAACUCUUCGCAUAAAUACUUCAUUAAUUAAUAACAUUAACUCUUCCUAUAAGACUUCAUUAAUAACUCAAUCAACUUCUAAUCAUCAUUAACUUCAUAUUCAUCACAUUAUAUACAACGUCAUACAGCACGUAAUAAUCAAAUCAUAAACAUCAUCAUAUAAAAACCUAAUCAUCACAUCAUAAACAUCAUCUUAUAACAUCAUAUAGUUCACAUCAUAAACAUCAUCAUAUAACAACAUAAACAUCACAACAUAAACAUGAAAUAAGGUUAUAAGGUUGCACUCAAAAAGUUUUAGUGAUAGUCAACUAUGAGAAUAGGUCUAAUUACUGUUGAGAUACAUUCAUGUAAUCUUAUAGGAAACAUGAAAUACCAAAGAACAUCUUGUCCUUAGAAAUGAAUAGAGAAAUAGAUAUGGAAUGUUUAGGAUUUAACUUUAUGAUGAAAACCGCAAUCUCAUGACGCAUUUUUAUAUCUAAAUUUUAAUCAAAAAAAAUAAUUGCACUUAAUCAAUUUAUUUUUUUCAGCUAAUCAAAACUAAAAAUUAGAUUAGUAUUUACUUAAAGUCCAUGUGAAUCGAUAUUUUACUAGAACCGUACACUUGCGUAAACCUAUCAAAGACCCUAUUGAUGUAUAUGGAAUCGUAGUUACCUAUCAAAGCUACAAAAAAAAUUAGAUCGGAAUUGGGGUCUUUCUGACCAUUCUUGAAGUCGAAGGGGGUUCGUUUACUGGAUGUAGCAUCGAAGGCUUGAGUGAAGAGUUCGAAGGGGUGCACGGGUAUUCAAGGAUCUGAAGAUUCAAGAAGCACCAAAUUUAAGGGUUACUUGGAGUUUGGGGGAGUGUUUUACAUAGGAGUUGAAGAAUUAGGUUUUAAUUUCAAGGAACUUUUGUAAACACAUUUGUAUUCAACUAUUAUAAAAAUAUCGGUGUUAUCUCUCUUUCCCUAUCCUCUUUACUUUUAGCUAUUGCAUGUGAUUAAUUGAAUAAUUUUUAGAAUAAUUGCUAGUGUUGAUCUAAGUUAUUUUUCAUUGAAAAUCAAUCUAAUUCAUUGAAUUAGGUUUCAUAUAAUUUGCUUAGAUCAAUUGAUUGAAAAAUCUAUUCAAUUCUUCAAUUACACAUGUAUUGUGUUUUUGAUUUGAUAACUUAGUAAUUUUGUUCAUGUAGGUUUGGUUUGAAAUUGUCUAUUGUUUUGUACAUUGUUCAAGGAAUAUUAAAGUUUGAUUGUAUAAUAAGAUUUGUAUCGUGAAUCUCUCAAUUCUAAGAUUAAGUCUCAUUGCACAUAUAUUUGACCUUUUGAUUCCUUGAUUGUCAUUGUUCGACCACGAAUCCAAUAGUCAAUUUUGUUGAGAGAGAGAGAGAGAGAGAGAGAUUGGAUGGACGGGUGAUAUUAGUGCAGAACACAGCAAAAGAGAAUCGAAAAAAGAGGAUCUUGAUCCUUUUCUAAAGGAGAAUCAACCAUCUAUAUAAUGACAAUUUUAAACCCAUCAAGUACAAAAAUAACGAGCAAGGUGAAAAUAUAAACGUAACAUUGAACUAUUUUAUUAAAUGAUAAUAAACUUCAAAGGGUAAAAUUGGUUUUUAGAUAAACAUAUAAGGGGUUACUAAAAAGGGUUACAAGUUUUUUUUUUUUUUUGAAAGAAGGGAUACAAAUUAUAAGCUUGCGAAGAAAAGACGGUUAUCAAACACAGCCUAUGCAGCUCAUGAAGCUGCCAUAAAAAUUUUAAUAGUGGGGGAUGUUUAAUGAAGAUUAGUAGUAGUGUUACGUUAUUCAUGGAGCUAUAGUUAUAAAUAAUUUUAAAGUGGGUAAUGUUUAUUGAAGAUAGGGAGAUCGAAGCGGAAAUGCUGAAAAAUGAUGAUGGAAAAAUAUAAAUCGAUAUUAUCUUUUAUUUUAGUCAGAAUUUAAAUUUGGUAUUUUUCAGUAUCCAUGUCGGCGAUUUUGACUAAUUUUGAUUAAGUAAACGUCUUAGUUGACUUCAAUGACUAAAGUAACUAAGAACAAAGAGUGAAUGAUUUAAUUCGGGUUUUAUCUAAGUCAUUGACCAAAAUUACAUCUUGUUACACUUUUAAGGAGAAAAAUGGUUGUUUUCCCAAUAAUGUUUUCCAAUAUUAAAUUAAUGUUGUUUUCUGCCUUAGGGAUGUUACCAAUUUGUUAUGUUGGAGUUACCUUUAGUGCUAAGAAACCUUUAGACCAAUAAAAAUAUUUUGAGUCCCUUUUAAAGUGGUAAAUACACUAAUAUAAAGUCAUUGUCAAUUGAUGUUAGGACUAUUUAUUAAGAAUGCAAUAUUUACUUGUUGUUCUUUGGUAGACACUUAGAGUUCAUUUUUGUGGACUGUAUGAACUUGGUUAUAUCAUAGUUAACGUCGUAUUAGACAAACGGAAAUGAAAGACUCAUCUCUCACUCUACUUAGGACUAGCCAAUUGUCAAACUUGGUUACAAUUUAUUUUGUUUGGAAAACUUAAUUUGAAUUUUCUACAUGUCAUGAAAAAUUCAAAUUUCUGUUUUCUGAUUAGAAGAUCAAUAAACGGUUCAAUAUCAUCACAAUCUCCAAAUCAUAACUUCAUUCAUUUGCAAAUCUAGAGCACAUAUAUCACGAUUUUCUAUCAUGAUUUGCAUUGAUAUAAGUAAGUAUAACACAUAUAUUUUACUCUUAACUUAGCCAUACAUUGCGGAUUUACUUAGUAGAUAGAGUAAUGUUUUUUUUUAAACAACAAAUUUUAUUCAUAAGCUAACCCAACACAAGAAGUGAAGAGGCUAGAGGAAACACACAAGACAACAGAUACAUAAAGACAACUAAACCACCCAAACAAUCCUUAAUACAAUAGAAUAACAUCAGAAAAACCAGCCACCUAAACUUCCUAGUACCAUGAAACAAUGUCAGGUCGCGUUGAUUUUUAGGCUGGAGGGCAAUGUUUGUUUCGGAAGUUCUCGACUUUCUUCAACAAAGGGUAGUGCUUUUUGCAGAAAUCGGGUAUAUGGGGUAUAUGUACUGGUUUAUCUUUUGGGAUUAAAUUUUUGAUUUUUGGGAUUAAUGCUUCAACUGCGGGACCAAAGCUAACAGCAUCAGCAAAAUGUUGUUGAGGAGCAAGCAUAAAAGCAGCAAGGAAUAACACUAAUAAGGAUAAGAAAAAUGAAUUAGCCAUUUUAAGAAGUGAUAUAAUUAUUAGUGUUGGUGCAUAAUACAUAUGGAGUAUACUGGUUUUAUACUAGUUAGAGACUCAAUGUGAGUUUAUGGUCAAUCUAAGUCAUGUACUAAAUGUCAAAAUUGUGUAUGAAUUGAAUUAUUCAACAAUGUUACAUGUUCCUUCCAUGUAUUUGCUACUAGUUGAUGAUCAGUCCCUACCUAUCCUUUAAUUUUCCACACAACAAGACCAUUCAGUAAUAUUGGCUCUAUCUCUCCACUUGUUUGCCCACCAUGGUUUAGCUGAAAAAACAGUGCAACUUGUUUCAAUAACAUUAAUAUAUAUAGAUAUUACUAUUUAUAUAUGCAUUGAACCCUGUAUGAUUUAUUUAUUUAUAAAAAUUCCAAAUAGGUUACUUUAUUUGUCAUUUAUGCUUGAAUAUGAAAAUACAAAACAGUGUUUUUUCUCAUUAAAAUUUUUACUAUAAAGAUUUUUAAUAACUUAGUGUUUACCAAUUGCACUUACUAAUUCUUAAUUAUAGAAUGAUGAUUAAAAAUUGUAUGUUUCAUAACUGUUUUUCAUCACAAGUUUAUAGUUCACUUCUCAGACGUUAUUCCAAAUAACGUUUGAGAUUAUAGGUUAUCAUUUUAAUUUCAUGUUUACCUUUAUUAUUUUGUUUAAGAUUUAUUUUUAUCCUUUUUAAUAUAUACUAUUUAUAAAGAAAAUAUAGGGAUUUUGGGCUGACUUUUUUGUUAUUCCAAUUAUACCUUUAAAUAAAAAAAAAUCAAAUAAUGUGAUAUGGUUGGUGUUAAUAAAAAGAUAAGAAUUUUUGUUAUAUUAUUGUUGUCAUUGAGAAUCAUAAAUAUUGUUUGUUGAGUUUGUUACAUUUGAAAGUCACAUAUCAUACUUUUAAUUUUUGUCUAUAUCAAAAAAUUUAUAUAAAAUAUCGUUUGUAAUUUACACGCAGAAUUUCAAUAAAUUAUCGUAAAUAAUUUAUACACAUUAACGUAAUAAAAAGAGCAGAAAGAUGAACAUGUGAAUGCUCGUCUUUUCGCUAGUUUAUUAUAAAGAAUAUGCUAAAUGUUUGGUUCUUUUGUCAUACUACACAAAUUAUUUGGUAGCUUUAUAUAUAUGUUACUAAUGUUAAUUUCACUCUCACUUUAAUUAUGUUACUCCAGAGUCCCUCUGAAAUAAUGUUUCUCUUUUUGCCCUAAAACUUCUCUCUUGCCAUCCAAAAUUUAAAACUCCCAUAUUAUAUGAUUCAUGAAGAUUUUUUGCUUCAAAACAUUGAUCAGGUCUUUUCAAACACGGACAACAAGGUAGGGUAUCAUUCCUUCCCUUUAGUGUUAUUUGAAUCUUUUUUUUUUUUCUUCUGUAAACUAAAACCUUAUAGAUUAUAUAAUAAUCUGAAUCAAGUUGUUCCUGGUUUGGAUUAUAUAAUUUGACAUGCUUCUAUAUAUAUGUUGUUUUGUUAUUUUGUGGAUAUUUUUUUAUUUUUUUUAGACAAAAGAGGAAUUAAAUUAAAAUAGAAAAGGAGGUAUAAGAUUGGGGGCAAUGACCUGACCAGUAAACCACAAAAUCAAAAUACAACAAUUUCAGUACAAAGUGGUAUACAACGAACACAACCCUAAACAAUCACUACUACGGACAAUUCAGCGAACCCACGUAUGAGCGCCAAACCGAAUUGCAAAAAAAACGUAGAGUGAGUAUUCAGAACUUCUAAAUAGGCGUAUGGAUCGACUGCCAACACAAAAACGAUCCAAGAUCAAGCAGCUCCCAUCAAAUAUCAGCAAGCAAUAAACGCCCUUUCGGGCCAACCAUUCCAGUCGUAGUUCAGUUCGAGGGAUGAACAAACGACAUAAAUGUAAAGCAGUCCACUGACAACGCAUAAAGCAACCGUAGCAGAUAAAGUCCUGCAGGUACGACAUCAACAACUAUCGUCAACCAGAGCGUCUACGCACUUAGCCCUUUCGUGCAUAUCAGGCGAAACAAGUCUUGUUGAAUCCAGAUCGAGGGAUGGUAUCCAACCAAACAUCGCACAAAUGAACAGAACCAUAACCAAAUCUUAAAUCCAGACAAACCAAAUUCAAAAUUUCAACUAAACCGGAUAGCCAGAAUAAGACCACCACCAAUCUUCAUCUUCCCGAAACAACAUAAAACACCAUUCGAUUCUUCAUGGUCUUCUUCUUUCAAACUAGUGCGUCUUCCUGGAACCGCCAUUGAUGUGAAAUUCGACUAUCUUUGCCGCCGCUUCAACUUCAAACUACUAUGCCAUUGACGCUUUUAAUUUAGUGGGAGAAAAAAGAAAAAGAUCGAAAUGAAAGUAGAAGAAGAAGGUUUGGUGUGUGUUUUUGAAGAAGAAGACGAAGAAAAAAAAAAGUUUGUGUUGUUACGUGUGAGAGGGUGUGGUGGUAAGCUUGUAUAUGAGAGAGAAAUAUAUGUCUAGAGUUUUGAUGUCUAAAGAAGACCACAAUUAAUGUGACAUUGGAAAAUGAAAGGGUGGAUGCAUGGGUACCAAAAUCUCAUAAUUAUUUGUUGGAAGAUGCAUAAGGAAGAGAGAGUUAUCCCCAAUAAAUGAGAGUGGGGAAUAGUUGAAAGAAGUGGCUUUUACAAAGUAGAAUGCUGAUUAGAAUUAACAAUUAAGUGUAGAUGAUCAACGGUUGAUGUUGAAUGGCGCCUAAAUGAUGAUCAGCAUCCAAUGGCUUGCAAAAUUGGAGAGAAAAAUGAGGGGGGAAAAUUAGGGUUAAGGAUAGCUUCGGGGGAUAAGCUUUAGUAAGUAAGAUUGUCUUAUAUACUUACAUUAUUUUAGGUCUAAAUUUCAGAAACCAUUAUUUGACAAUUUUUUUGACAAUUUUAUCUCACAUACUCACAUUAUAUUUUUACUUCUCUUUUUGUUGUUUUGGUUUUUAUUUUCAUACCUAAUUUUCCUUGUAAAUCUAUAGUUGUCUCAUAAAUUAUCGUUAAAAUUGUUGUUCAAAUAACACAACUCUUAUUUCUAAUACUCAAAAUUUGUUCAAAUUAAGUUUUUAAAGAACUUCUAAUAAAGUCAGAUUAAAGUUUUUUUGAACUUUUUAAAUACUUAAAUUGAAUUUUCUCCAAUAUACAUAUUAGAGAAAGAAAAAAAAUAAUGAUAGGAGGGAGAUGCAAAACUUAUGUUUUCUUUCUCUAGAAACAUAUUUUGAGUUUUCAAUAUCAUCAAAAUCUCAAAAUCAUAAACUUUAUUUAUUUGCAAAUCUAGAGCACAUAUAGCGCGAUUUUCUCUCAUAAUUUACAUUGAUAUAACACAUAUUAUGUUCUUACCUUGCCCAAACAUUCGGGAUUUAAUUGAUGAUGUAAAAGACGUUUUUAAAUGUAGAAUAAGAAAGAUGGAAAACCUCCAAGCCAAAUUAUACACAAGAUAUACAAAUUAUACACAAAAAUUUCAAAUUUCAAUUUUCUCGAGAGUAUUCUUAAAUGAUCAAUCAAUGAUUCAAUAUAAUCACAAUCUCAAAAUCAUAAACUUUAUUUAUUUUCAAAUCUAGAGCACAUAUAGCGGGAGGAGAUUGUCUCGUGUGAUUUUUCUCUCAUGUGUAAUCCAGACCCUCCAUUAAAUAUGUGAGAUAAUGUGUUUGUAAUAUAAAAUGACCGAACGCAAGAUAAAUUGUUUUUUUCUAAACAAUAAAUUUUAUUCAUAAGCAUUCCCGUGAGCUUAGCUCAGUUGGUACGGAUAUUGCAUUUUAUAUGCAGGGGCUGAGGUUCGAACCCCAGACACCCCACUUCUCCACAAUUAAAUUGUGUGAGCUCUAACCACUAGACUACUUGACCAAGAAAAAAAGAAAUAUUCAUAAACUAACCCAACACAACACAAGAAGUGAAGAGGCUAUAGAGGAAAGACACAGGGUAACAAUACAUAAAGACAACUAAACCAAGGCUAAAAAGCCACAACACAUGUAAAUGGCUUAUCACAGCAGAAAACAAGGUAUAUCAAUAUCAUGUGUGACUACAAAACCGCCCAAACAACCCUUAAUACAAUAGAAUCACAGCAGAAAACACCCUUAGUAGAUAUUGAUAUGCCUUGCCGCGUUGAUGUUUUAGAAAUGUGCAGGUGGAGGGCAAUUACUGGGUCGGUUAUGCCCGUUUUUCCUCGAGCAGGGAUUUAAUGAGGGCUUUUGGGAUGGUUUAGGACGAGGGAAAGGUACUGGUUUGGAUGGAGUGAAAUGGGGUAAAUGCUUUAUGAUUCCUGGAGGGAGAUGUAUGGCAUCAACAGCAAAAUGUUGAGGAACAAACAUAAGAGCAGCAAGGAAUAACACUAAUAAGGAUAAGAAAAAGGAUUUAGCCAUUUUAAGAAGUGAUAUAAUUAUUAGUGUUGGUGCAUAAUACAUAGGGAGUUAAACUGGUUUUAUACUAGUUAGAGACUCAAUGUGAGUCUAUCGUCAAUCAAAGUUAAAAUUGUGCACGAAUUGAAUUAUUCAACAAUGUUACAAGUUCCAUGUAUUUGAUACUAGCUGAUGAUCAUUUAGUAUUAUUGGCUCUAUCUCUCCACUUGUUUGCGCACAUGGUUUACCUGAAAAAACAGUGUACUGGAGGUGCAACUUGUUUUAAUAGCAUUUUUUGUUGAGCACAUCAUGAGACAACACCGACAUCCUAACUAGAUUAGUAUUUCAGGACGCCUCCGUCCUAUGCCUGCCAAUCUCUAAAUUUUAUUAAAAAAGGGUAAAAAUAUAUACAAGGAGAGUGAGGACUAGGCCAAAAUCCUCAAUGAAAAAACCAAAGGAAACAAUAAAAAAUAAAGCCUACUGAAAUCUAUAAUUGGGUGAGCCAAUUCUGUCUCUAUAGAAGUCGAAAUGCAACUCUGCACGAAGCGUGUCUAACCAAACAGAACCCUGAAUAUCAUGACCCUCGGACAUUCCAAUAUAACAUCAUUGGGAAGAUGGAGGAAGACCACUCUUUCCAAGGAUUUGAUAAUGCGGCUUUCCGAAGACUUACUUCUUCAUAUUUAACGCGGCUUUUUUGAGAGAACUUGCGUAAAUCCUUUCUUUACGGCCCGUUGAUCGUAUUCUUUGAUUCUGGCCCAUAAAUCCAAGUCAUUCUGUACGUUUUUGCUAGUGUUUUAAUAACAUUAAUAUAUAGAUAUUACUAUUUAUAUAUGCAUUGAACCUGUAUGAUUUAUUUAUAAAAAUUCCAAAUAAAUUACUUUAUUUGUCAUUUAUGCUUGAACAUAAAAAUACAAAACAUUGUUUUUUCUCAUUAAAAAAUUUAAUUAAUUUAUAAAGCUUUUUAAUAAAUUAGUGUUUACCAAAUUGCACUCAUUAAUUCUUAAUUAUUGAAUGAUUGUAAACUCAUUUUAGAACCUCCAAAAAUGAAGAAAGCUCAUUCUUAGGACAACACAAAAUGGAAAACACUCAAGAUUGUUGGCAUAUUGGUAGACUAUUUCUAUCUGACAAAUUCAAUAAGCUAGUUUAUAGUUUAUAAGUCCGAAUGAUUAAAAAAUGUAUGUUUCAUAACCGUUUUUUCAUCACAAGUUUUAUAGUUUAUUUUAUUAGUUUGUAGCUUAUUUUUUAGACGUUAUUUUAAAUAACGUUUGAGAUUAUAGUUUAUCAUUUUUAUUUGUGUUUACCUUUAUUAUUCUGUUUAAGAUUUAUUUUUAUCCUUCAUAAUCUAUACUACUACCGUUUAUUCUGUUUGACAUUAUAGUUUAUUUUUAUUUGUAGUAUAUAUAAAGAAAAUAGGGGGAUGUUAGGCUAGCUUUUUUGUUACUCUAAUUAUACCCUAAAAUAAAUAAAAAGUCAAAUAAUAUUAUAUUGUUGGUGUUAUUAAAAAGAUAAGAAUUUUUGUUAUAUUAUUGUUGUCAUUGAGAAAGAUAAAUAUGGUUUAUUGAGUUUGUUACAUUUGAAAGUCACAUAUAUUUAUACUUGUAAUUUUAAUCUAUAUCAAAGAGUUUUUAUAAAAUAUAGGUUGUAAUUUACACGCAGAAUUUCUAUAAAUUAUCGUAGAUAAUCUAUACACGUUAACGUAGUAAAAAGAGAAGAAAGAUGCGCACGUGAGUGCCCGUCUUUUCACUAGUUUAUUAUAAAGAAAAUGUUAAAAUGUUCAAUUAUUUUGGUCAUACUGCACGAAUUAUUUGGUAGCCUGGCAUAUAUGUUACUAAUGUUAAUUUCACUCUCACUUUAAUUAUGUUACUCCACAGUCCUCUAAAAUCGUGUUUCUCUUUUUGCCCUAAAACUUCUCUUUUAUGUUACUCCACAAUCCUCUAAAAUCGUGUUUCUCUUUUUGCCCUAAAACUUCUCUUUUUGAUUAUUCAAUCCGAAUCAAGUUGAUCUGGUUUGGAUUAUAUAAUUUGAACUGCUUUUAUAUAUGUUGUUUCUUUAUUUUGUGGAUAUUUGUUAAUUGUUUGUACAUCUGAUUUUAACACUUUCAAAUAUUGACCGCAUGGGCUGUGUUAGGAACGAUAGAAUUUCCUUGACUGCAUCUUCUAGGUGAGAGCGUAUGUAGAAGAAUGUAGUGGAAAGGAGAGUGGUCAAGGGCAUGGGCAUGGGCCGCAAUGCUGAGACGCAGAGAGGUCGUCAGUUCCUAGACAUUAGUGGACAGUUACGGCGCAUCGAGGAACAUGUCAGAAGUAUUUAACUUUUUUAGUGAAGAUUUUUUUAAUUUAGAAUUUUUAAAGAGUGUCUCGAAAACACUCAUUAGCAAGACUGAUAAGUUGUAGUUUAUGGUGUUUUUAUCAUUUAAAUUCAAUAAUAUGUACGUUGUUUUAGUUUUAAUUUAGAUUCAUUUUACUGGAAAACAUUAGUUUUUAUUUUCAUAAUCAAAAUUAUGAAGAACAUUAUACCUAGAUUAAGAGCGAGGAAAAAGAGCCAUGAAAGAGCCAUAAAGCAGCAGCACGGAUGGUCCGUGGUUCCAUCUAGGUCGUGGAGUUCUUAAAAUGUCAAAAUUUCAAAAGUUGAAGUACAAGCACAACCGUGUGCCCCAACACGGUAGAAACAAGCAUGAUUGUGCACUUCAGAAGCACGACUUUUGCACCCCUCAAAACACAACAAAAUGUCAAAAGUUGGAAAGGUGAGCAUGACCGUGCACCCUUGAAGCACGACCGUGAGUCUUGUGCAGAGAAAAAUAGUUGUUACAACCUCUUAAAGUUCUUUGGUUCAUGGCUUGUAACUUGUUUUUAAUAUAUUUGUCUGAGGCUCUAGGCUAUAAAUAUACCUCACUUCUAAGGAAAAAAGAAUCUUAGAUACUUGUAAACUUACUCUAAAGUUGAAAGCAUAAUUUUGCAAUGUUUUAAGUUCUUUGUUCUUUAUUUUUCAUUUCUUUACAUUUGUAUUCUUUACUUUUCUGUUCUUUACAUUUUCAGUAUUUUAUCUUCAUGUCUUUAUAUUUUAAUCACAUGUCUAUUAUGAUCAUAUGUUAGUAAACAAACUAUUCUAGUCUUGGAAUUGUUAGAAUAAUCAAUCUAAUGAUUGAAUGUUAAUCAACCCAAGUCUAGACUCUAUUUUAUAAGAAUCCAUUUUAUAAUCUAAUAUCAUCGUUACUAAAUUUUAUUUUAUAAUCUAAUAUCAUUGUUAUGAAAUUUUAUAACAAGUAUCAAACAAAGAACUGAGAGUUGAUGUUUGAUAUUGUUAUUUAAUCAUGUCUAAGAUAUCAAACGAAGGACCGAGAGGUGAAAUUUGAUAUUGGAAUAAAUGAGAUUGUAAGAGAUAAGCAAAAUAUGAAAAUAAUUUUAUGACUCUUAGGACAAUAAGGUUAUAAGGUUGCACUCGAAAAGUUUCAAUGAUAAUCAACUAUGAGAAUAGGUUUAAUUACUGUUGAGAUACAUACAUUCAUGUAAUCUGAUAGGAAACUGAUAGAAUAUGUGUUACUUAGUCAUGUAAUUUGUAUUAUUAAAAGAAUAUUAAUACGUAUUCAUUGUGUUAAUUAGUCAUUCAUUUUGUAUUCAUUAGUCAUUAAGAGAAUGAUAACAAUUUGAUGUAUAUAAUGCACUCAGAUUAUCAAUGAAAAUCAUUCAGCUAUUUUCCUAUAUGGUAUCAGCUAGGUUUUAGAUCCUCUCCUACUUCUUCUAGCCGCCCACCACCACCUUUUCUUCCCUAUACUUCCGUUAUAAACCGCCAUCCAUGGCUACCUCAACAACAGCUGAAUCAACCACUCUCUCAACAAAUUCCUCUCCCGUGACAGACACAUUUGUCUCAACGGCACCAUCAUCAAAAAUUCACUCGGCCUUCACUAUCAACAACGUGAAGUCUAUCAUUCCCGUAACCUUGCACAAUGGCAGAAUGCUUUUCAUUGAUAAUCUGAGUGCAUUAUAUACAUCAAUUUGUUAUCAUUCUCUUAAUGACUAAUGAAUACAAAAUGAAUGACUAAUUAAUAUAAAUGAAUACCUAUUAAUAUUCUUUUAAUAAUACAAAUUACAUGACUAAGUAACACAUAUUCUAUCACUCCCACGCAGUUGAUGCGGGAGGUUGUCGGACGCUGAGUCUGUCCCUAAAAUCUUGAAAUAAAACCAAUGGGAGACCCUUAGUGAAGAUAUCUACAAUUUGAUAGCGUGAUGGAACAUGUAGGACACGGAUGUCUCCACGAGCUACUUUUUCACAAACAAAAUGAAUGUCCAUUUCGAUAUGUUUUGUGCGUUGGUGCUGGACGGGAUUUCGGAUAGAUAUAUGGCACUAACAUCCUUAUUAUCUAAUCCUAAACUACAAUGCACACAACAAUUGCAAAACCCUAAUCCUUGGUUUUGAGCGGGAAAAUUGUGAUUUAACCACAUUUAAUGGCAUUUUUGAAUUUCAAAUCAUGUACCCUUUUGAAAUGUGUGCAUAUGUGCCUAAUUAAUGCAGAUUUUGAAAUUCAAAUAUCCCACCACUUGGAAUUGUGCUCGCUUCUUUCCAAGACAUGCAGUUACCCACUUCUCAAUGCAAAAGCAUCUGAACCAAACAAACCUAUUUCCUUGCAUUUUGCUCUUUCUCCCUCUCUCUCACUCCCCUCUCACGCCCAUUUUUCUCUAAUCAGAAAAGGUCAACGAUUUUCAGUCCCUCUUCUCUUCUCUCUCACUCCAGUUUUCUCUCAAAAAAAAGCCUCUUCUCUUCUCCCACGUUAUUUUUUUCUUCAUUUUCUAACAUUCUUCUUCAAUUCUCCAUCUCUCUCUCUCAUUGUUUCUCGCGUAGCUCUUCGUGUCUUAGUUUGGGUGUUCUCUUCAUCGCCGGUCAGCCUCACCAAGGCAAUAAGCAUCUUCAAGUUUUAUUGAAAGAGAAUGCUUCUAUGCAACAAAAUUUUCAAGACCUUCGAUCCCUCGGUAUGCGUUUUCAGUUUCGUUACGUUUUGAUUGAUUUUGAUUUCGCGAUUAGGAUUUUGGUAUCACCGGUGUUGUUUUGAUUGAUUUUUCCGAUUUGAUAGGAAAGGAGCUUGAAGAAGGUGGAGUUCUCAGUGAAUCGGCACUGUCGCGGAAGGUUUUUCUUUUCAUCAACGAUCUUCUCUCUCAUUCUCUCUCAUUCGCUGCUCUUCUACUAAGCUUUGAUUGUGGAACGUAUGAAGGCAGAGUGACAUCUGAUAACGAUCAGAAUCAAGGCUACUAAGCUUAGAUUAUGGCUUCUAGGGGCAGAGGAAAAUGAGGAAGAAAAAGCACCAUCAAUUACAAUCUGCUCUACAUGUAUAAUGUUUUCCGUAUUCGAAUUAUUUCAAAUUGCAAGUAAUUUAAAUUGAGUUUUAAGGUAGUUUUCUUUGACUGCAAGUAUAAGGGGCUUAUUUCACAAGGUUAUACUUAGAUGUGUAUAUUCACUAUUGAAGCUUAUUUUGAGUUUCCGUGAUGACUUACUUUAUCGAAAUCACGGUGUGCCGCCGCGAUUUAGAAAAAGUUAUAGGGUGCAGCUUUUACAAUAACUAAAAAUUAACUAAUGAUUUGCCUGAAGUUUCUAAUUCUUUUUAUUGGUCCGAUUACAGUCCCUCUCUGAUGAUUUUCUACAACUAUCAGAUUUGAUUGAAUCAACUAAGGUUAAUUAUUUUGUCCAUAAUUUUUGCAAGAUAACUCUUCAGUCUACUGUUUUAGGUCAAAAUUAAUUUAUUUUGUGUAUAGAACAAUAGUUAUGCAGACCACCCAUUUCAAUAGGAUAAUGUCAAAAUUAAUUUAUGCAGACCAUCCAUUUCAAUAAUCAAUAAUGUUUUUUUGGGUUUGUUUGUAUAAUAGCAGGUUUUUUAAGAUUUGUUUUGUGUAUAAUGUGUCAUUUCACUCCACGUAGCCAAUCUUAGUGUUUGUUCAUGAAUAGAAAGUGGCUCAUAAAACAAUUUAAGGGUUCGAUUGUUCUAUAUUAUCUUUGCUCAUCUCUCUUAGUGUUUGAAAUUAGUUCAAAGAGUGGUCUAAAAAUUCUGCUAACAUAUGAGGAUGACGCUUGCAUUGAUAGUUUUUUUUUUUAAAAAAAAAAAAAAAAUCGCAUUGUAUACACAUAAAUUCCUUGAAAUAUAAUUGUAUACACAACGUACACUACAUACGAGGUCAACUUUACGUCGCAAUAUCCAAGGUGACCUCCAGGAAUGGGUUGAAGAUUUUAAUGAAUGAUGAUAAUAGUAAUAGCAUGAAUAGCACUUCAAAUGUAGUUAUAAGGAGAUUUUCUGCAAUCUACCGAUUUAAGGUCUUUUUUAAUGUAUUUUUUUUAGAAACAAUUUAUUUUGUACCGCAAGCAUAUUUAAUUUCAAUACAUUUUGUAAUAGCAUAUUUUAUUUUGUACAGCACGGGUGGAUGGUCUAGUUAUCACAAUAAACUAAACUAGCCUUGUGAAUGGGGAAAUGUAAUUCCAAAAGCAAGUUUCAUAACCAACAAGAUUCAGAAACCGCAUUGGAACCCCUCGAUAUUCUGCUUCAGCACUUGAACGAGAUAAAGUAGGUUGUCGUUUGGAAGACCAUGAGAGUAAGUUGUCACCAAGAGAUACACAGCAACCAGAGGUGGAUCGUCAGGUAUCUAGGCAACUUCCCCAAUCUGCAUUGUGUAAACAAUCAAUGAUGAUGUAGAAGAAGAGUAAAGUUGCAGUCCAUACUCGCGUGUGCCCUGAAUAUAUCUCAGGAUGCGUCAAAGGGUGUGCAUGUGAUCAUCCAUUGGAUUGUGCAUAAAUAAACAUAUUUGUUGCACUGCAUAAGAAAUGCCAGGCCUUGUGAAGGUGAGGUAUUGUAGGGCGCCAGCAAGGCUGCGAUAUAGAGAAAGGUCUUCAAAUGGGGUGCUAGUUUUGGCUCUCAUCUUUGGUUUAGUAUCAACCGUUGUAGGACAUGGUUUACAAGAAGCCAUUCCAGCACGAUCAAUAAUUUCUUCUGCAUAUUUUUUCUGAGACAAAAAUAAGCCACCAGGAUGACGUGUGACAGCAAUACCCAAAAAAUAAUUCAACAAUCCCAAAUCUUUCAUAGCAAACUCGGAACUAAGGAGUGAUAUGAUAGACUUUCAAAGGUCGUCAGAGGAAGAGGAAGCAGUAAGAAUGAUAUCAUCUACAUACAGUAUGAGGUAGGCCAAAAGGUGGGUUUUUCCUAUAUGGUAUCAGAAAAACUCUGCUUCCCGGAACUCUGGCAGAGGUGGUCGAAAUGGUACUGGUAAUUAUUGAUCUAUAACAAUAACCAUAUACGAAGACUACCUCAAAAAAAAAAAAAAAAAAAACGUACGAAGGAGAAUCAACCAUCUGGAUAAUACAUAUCCUUAUUUUAUUUAUUUGAAUUUGAAUGGCAACCACCAAAGCCACAUAUAGAAAGAAUAUUUUCCUACCAAUCGUACAUGAUGCCCAUAACAAAAGAUAGGUUCCAUAAUAUGGCCCCAUAAUAUCCUUAUCCUUAUAAUUAUGGUUCAGAAAAUAAAAAACCUCGUUAAGUUUUAGGAUUAUUUUAAGUUGAUAAAUAUUAACGAGUAUCUUCAGAGCAUUUUUCAAACAUCUAAAGUGGUAAGAUUUUAUGAAAGUUGAGCAUUUAUUAUAUUGGAAAUUGAAGUCUUUACAUUUCUUUUAAAAAUAAUUUUUUCAUUAUAAAUGCUUAAAAGGUGCUCCAUGGACAUUCAUUAACAGGACUCUUUUAAAUUUUAGAAUGUUAGCAUUUCCCUAAAACACAUGUUAAAGAUAGAGAUAUAUUAUGGCCUCUCACGGUAGCACCCGCCUACGUAGCGAGUUUAUGGUCAAUCUAAGUCAUUUACUAAAUGUCAAAAUUAUGUAUGAAUUGAAUUAUUCAACAAUGUUACAAGCUCCAUGUAUUUGCUACUAGUUGAUGAUCACUAACUAUCCUUUCAUUUUCCAUACAACUAGACCAUUUUUUUUUAGUAUUAUUUGCUCUAUCUCUCCACUUGUUUCCACAAAUAUGAUUAAUUUUUUUCGAAAAUUUUGUUUUUUUAAAUAUGAUAUUAUGGAAAACAAAAUUCGAAAAUUUGAAUAUAUAUUAAUCUUUUCCACAAUUUUUUUAAAUAUUUCCCGAUUAUUUUUAUAAUUUUUCCAGAUUUUUUUCAUUAUUUUUUAUUUUACCAGAUUUUUUUAAUCAUUAUUAAUUUUUACAUUUUUUUUUUAAAUUUUUCAGUAUUUUUUUUAAUCAUUAUUCGUUUUUUAAAUUUUUUUAUUUUUAUUUUAAAAAAAUCACAAAUGCCACGUGGCGUUCAUUUACACGCGUGGCAUGAAAAAAAUUAAACAAAAAAAAAUUGACACGUCACUGCCACGUAGUAGAUUCUGCCGACACAUUGAGGUGAGGGGUCAAUCCUGAAGAAUCUUCAUUUUUCAAGGGUGGAAUCUAAAAAAAAAAAAUUACAGGGGCUAAAACCAAAAGUGCAUUAUAUUACAAAGGCCAAAAACACUAUUAACACUAUAUUAUUACUUCUUCUUUUUUAUAAAAAUCCAAAUAAAAAUCAUUUGCAUUGCAGCCAAUUGGCCAAAUGCAACAUGACAAGCGCAAAAUUGCUCCAUGUUGACUUGUGAGAACUCUUGUUCUAGAUAGAGAACCUUAUAGUUUUUGUUGUCACAGAAAAUGUUAAACAACUUUUUCCAUGCAAUUUAUGCGUCUGAAUCGCGCUUGAUGAUGGUGAUGAGAAUAUAUUCUGAGGUGGUGUCAUAUAUCCAUUAUAAUACGACAACAUCAAAAAGCGGCCAAAGAUUGGGAUUGAUUUCUUUGAGAGAGGGAGUUGUUGGCUUAUUAGUGGGUGAGGGAGGAAUGAUGUGAUGAAAGACUUGAUGAACCCUUGCAUGAAUUUUAAAGAGUUCGAACCACGUAUUAUAUUGGACCCUUUUUUAUACUAAACGUAACCUUGAUGAAAUUGGUGAUAAUUGAAAAUGGUGGUAGAGGGAUGGAUAGGUGUGGAAGGAGUUGGGGUUGAAAUUGUCCUUCGAGUGGUAGUAUUUUUGGGGAUGAUUCGGCCCUGAUGGUGAAUGAAGGAGAAGAGGAACGAUGGCGCUGUAUUAGGUUUACGAGAGAAGGAUGAGUACCAACAACUUACUGAUACCAUGUAAGAAUUAUAAUAAGAUAAUUAUUAGUCGUGUGUCAUUUGCAUUGAGAGGAUCCGUUGACACUAGGUGUCAAACUUUAGUUUGACAUCAAAUCUCAACCGUCUAUUAUGUCUAAUCUAAUGGUCUGUGAUUAUUUAUUAAAUUAACUUGUGUGAUCUUUUUCCCAUGUCUCACCUGAUCCCACGCCGGCUGUUCUGCUCCAUCUCCUUCAACUUAUCAAAGUUAAUAUGGCCAACAAUCAAAUACACACACAAAUUAAUUCUUUUUUUUUUUUAAAGAAGAAGAAGCUAAAUUAGCCCACACAAAUUGGCACCGGAGAGAAUCGAUCCUGAGACCUCGAGGAGGAGCACACUCCCAGAUCCCAAGUCAAUACCACCAGACCAACCCAAAUGAUAAAUAAGGAGUUAAUUCUAAAUAAGGAGUUAUACAUAUAAUUACAUAUUGUUGACAUUAAUUGUUCUCUGUGGGGCAAGAUACUUGAGGUGUAAGUUUCAUAAGAUGCAAGUUCUUUUAAGUCUAAAUUGUCUUAUACUUACAUUAUUUUAGGUCUAAAUUUCAGAAACCAUUAUCACAAAUUUUUUGACAAUCUUAUCUCACAUACUCGUACUAUAUUUUUACUUCUCUUUUUGUUGUUUUGGUUUUUGUUUUCAUACCUAAUUUUCCUUGUAAAUCUAUAGUUGUCUCAUAAAUUAUCGUUAAAAUUGUUGUUCAAAUAACACAACUCCUAUUUCUAAUACUCAAAAUUUGUUCAAAUUAAGUUUUUAAAGAACUUCUAAUAAAAUCAGAUUAAGUUUUUUUGAACUUUCUAAAUACUUAAAUUGAAUUUUCUCGAAUAUACAUCUUGGAGAAAGAAAAAAAAUAAUUAUAGGAGGGAGAUGCAAAACUUACGUUUUCUUUCACUAGAAACAUAUUUUGAGUUUUCAAUAUCAUCAAAAUCAUAAACUUUAUUUAUUUGCAAAUCUAGAGCACAUAUAGCACGAUUUUCUCUCAUAAUUUACAUUGAUAUAACACAUAUUAUGUUCUUACCUUGCCCAAACAUUCGGGAUUUAAUUGAUAAUGUAAAAGAUGUUUUCAAAUGUAGAAUAAGAAAGAUGGAAAACCUCCAAGCCAAAUUAUACACAAGAAUAUAAAACAAAGCAUUUACUUGGUAGAUAAUAUUUUCUUUUUAAACAGCAAAUUUUAUUCAUAAUAAGAUAACCUAACACAAGAAGUGAAGAGGCUAUAGGGGAAAGACACAAGGUAACAAUACAUAAAGACAACUAAACCAAUGCUAAAAAUCCACAUCACAAAACCACCCAAACAACCCUUAAUACAAUAUAAUCACAGCAGAAAAACCUUAACCAAAUCAAGCAAACACACCCAGACCUUCCCCUAACACAAAAUCAAACCAGUUUCCAUCAACACCACAUCAAUAGACCCCUUAAAUAAUUGAACAAAAACCAGCCACCUAAACUUCCUGGUACCAGUAAAUUACAAUUACUUAGUAGAUAUUGAUAUGUCUUGUUGCAUUGAUGUUUCAGAAAUGUGUGGCUGGAGGGCAAUCUUUGGGUCGUAACUUCCACAAUAUCUUCGAGCAGCGAUUGAUUUUGGGAGUUUUGAAUUUUGGGAAGGCAGCAUCAACAGCAAAAUGUUGAGGAGCAAGCAUAAAAGCAGCAAGGAAUAACACUAAUAAGGAUAAGAAAAAGGAAUUAGCCAUUUUAAGAAGUGAUAUUAUUAUUGUGUUGGUGCAUAAUACAUAUGGAGUUAACUGGCUUUAUACUAGUUAGAGACUCAAUGUGAGUUUAUGGUCAAUCUAAGUCAUUGUGUAUGAAUUCAAUCAUUCAACACGUAGGUUCCAUGCAUUUGGAAAACUAGUUGAUGAUUAAAAAUGUUCAAUAUAUUAGGCUAUGAAUUGUUUAUGAAUUGAAUUGUUG